rnacentral:lncRNA from 1 species
GGUUUUAGCAACCACACGAGCAUCCACACACCACAUAAGCACAUUCUACUUCCCUAAGCACAAGCAGUCAAAAUAAACUUGUUUUAAGUUGAUGCAUAAUAAUGUGCUUAACAAACAUGCUUUGCAAUGCAUGUGAUGACAUGAUCUGUUUUUAGUAUUCGUAACAUCAGGGAUGUUACAUUUUCCUUCGAGGGCACCCCUCAGUCUCUAUGAUAAUUUCUUCAUGUCUUCUCCAGGGGCCAAGGGGGUCUCCUUAUAUAGUCCUCCCCUUCUAUGCGUUUUUGGGUCGAUAGGCGAGGUGGUACUAUGUUUUCCUUGAUCCAAUAGGUCGGUGGAACAUCCCGUGCGAAGAGAGUCCUGAUUGGCAUCCAACAGGGGGCGGGCGCCCAGGUCCUCAGGGCGGGCGCCCUAGGCCUGGCCCCUUUCGGCCUCCGCUUCCUUCCCGUGGCUUCUGGAGUCUUCUAGAUGGUAGAAAAUUGCGCGGUGCGUUGAUAUCUCUAUGUAAUCCCGACAUGUGGGCCUUUCUUCCGUAUUUCCUGAUAACCCCCUGCAGAAAUAGACAAACACCAAAACUCGUGGAAUUCUAUCAGAUAAAACCCUAAGUCUAGAUGUUGAUUUCAUUUGGAUCCUUUUCUUUGUUUAUUUGAUAAUUAAAUUUGAUACUUAAGGACCGUCAACAAACUCCCCCAAGCUGACCUCUUGCUCGUCCCAGAGCAAGGAUAGACUCAGCUCUGGAUCAGAAGUUGAUGCAAUAUCUUAAAAAUUUAACGGUACACAUGCUUUUAAAUAAGAUCUCAUCUCUGAGUUAGAGUAAACUGUCAAGAACUAAAACUUACUUACUUUACCUUUCACCAUGGGACUUGUAACCGUCACUUCUGUCUUGAGUAGUUAAAAGAUAGAACAGUCUAGCAAAGUGCCAUGUCUCUUAUUCUUGAUCAGCUAUAGCUCUGGGGUUUUUGCAGAUUUUCAAAUAAAACUCAGAGAUUCCUUGUAUGACUCUCUAAAUCUCUCUUUUGUGGUAUUUCUGGACCCUUACCAAGGCAUUGAUGGUAUAUGCCUUCUCUCAAGAUAUGUGGUAUUUAUGGUAUAAGGCAUAGUGACAUUGCCUUCUCUCUCACCCUACUCUAAUAAGGCUUGAUAUCUGGAGCUCAUAGGUGGGAGACAGCUAAUACAUACUUACAAGACAUUUAUUGCAUAGUCAAACCAUGGAUCCAGAGAAACAAAUCAAUAAGCCAAAUCAAGAUGUGCAUGUGUGGCGAAUGAAUGGUGUAUGGUGAUGAUGGUAAUAACAAUGGUGAAAGUCUAAUUCUACUUUUGCUCUUUUGAGGGGAUACAUACCUUCCUUGCUUUUUGAAACUUUAUGAGGAGAAUGAGAUGCUCUUCUUUUUCUUUCCUCUCAGGUGGGUAUCUUGUACCCCUAAUUCUACUGUCGGACACUUGUCCAUUUUUACCUCUCGUCUCACUUUUUCUUUCUUUCGAGGUUCCGGGCACUUGCCCCUUUUUAUUUCCUCGUAUUCUUUCUUUUUUUUUUCUUCUCUUUUUUUUAGAGCACUCAUCUCAUGAGAUAAUAUAGCAAGUGGUAGUAACCAAGAUAACUUGAGCAUUUAUUUCACAGGGGAAAAACAGAAAUAUUUUUAGCUAUUCUCUCCCGGAUUAGGAGUAGAAUAUUUUUGGGUAGUUCUGGAGAUGGAAAUGGGUGGAUAUAUGUGGAUGCGUACUUCCAGAGUAGAAGCAGCAUGUGUGAGUGAACGUUCAAGUAAAUCUUGACUUAACCACAUGACAAGCUCCUAAGGGUCGACACAGCUUGACCACACUCAAUGCUCAUAAGCAGUAAAAAGUAAAUGUGUGGCUCAAAGUCUAGCAAGCAUGUAUAUCUGGCUGUGGUAGGAAUUUAAACUCUCAUCAUACAGGAACUCAUCAUUCAACAUUUUAAAGAUUUUCAAAGAUAAAAAUUCUCUAGAAUUCUAGCAUUUCUAGGAACAGAUAAACAGCAGCUCAACCUUCCCAUAUCGUAUCCGUUAACAACUUAGACUUCAGAUCAAGUUUUCAUCCCACAAGUUUAGGUCUAGAGCAAGAUUUAAAUUAUAACAGUUAUGUCUAAACUUGAGAGAGAACUUCAAAAUUGCAAAUUAGGCAGAGCAACUAUUCAUCAUAUCCAUGCUAGAGUUUUAUUAUUAAGAUUCAGAUUAGCAUAGCCACUUUAUUUAUUUAUUAAACAUACUAAGCAAAAGAUAUAUAUAAGCACAAAAUCUUUAUUUGGUUUUUCAUAGUUUAUGUAUUUUAAUAUUCUAACAUAAUAUAAGUAUAAAGAUAGGUAGAAAUACUUAGCGAGAUAAAUGGGGGUGCUCUCCCCCAAGCUGAAUUUUGACGUAAUUUCCCUUGAUGUAGCUAGCAGGUGGCAGAGGUGUAUUUGAAAGUCAGCAGCAUUCUGACAGCGAUUAGAAUGUCCUCCGUUUGCUAGUCUUCUUGAUUCUUAAAUUCUGUGGAGCUCAAAUAGACAACAAAGCUUGUGGAACUAAUAAAGUGUUAGCAUAAAUAUCUAGCCUUCAUCAUGUUGAGCUUCCUUAAUAAAUGUUAUUUAUUUAGCAGGAUCAUACACUUAUUAUUAUAUAUAUAUAUAUAUAUUUAUAUAUAUUUUUAUUGUAAGAUGAAAACUUAUUUAUUUUAUUUUUAUGCCACCACAGUGAAUGUACUUAUGGGUUUUAUGCCAUGAGCAUACUCACAUGGGGCUUACUAUUUUUUAAUAUUUUUAUUUUCUUUUCAAGAUAGCAUGAACCUGAUUAACUAAGCAAAUUAUAAUUGAAUAAUUGAAAGGAAAGGGUAACUACCAAGUUUACCUCUUGGCAAGGCGUUCGGUAUUUUUAUGUCCUCCGAACGGGACUCUCUGUUUUCUCAGUCGUCCUGGGAUUCGCUAGGUGGCGUAGUCGGUGAUUCCGGCGGCGCCUCUCUUCGUGUAUAACUAUCUUCUCCCUCCACACCUAACUCGGUGCUACGGUCUCCUCAGGACAGUUCUGUUCAAGCUGUAUGACUUUAGUCCUUAUCACUUUUCCUUCGUAGUCUACCCAUCCAUUCUUGAUGAUUUGCCUCCUCUUGGUUGCGGUUGCGUCGUCUUCUUGUCCUGACCUGCUUAGAGUCUUCAACUAUAUAGUUAUGGUCAGUAAAAUAGUUGCGUACCUUCUCAGAGGAGAAGUACAUGUGGACUUCUCCGGUUCCAAUGUAGAUGAUUGCUUUGAUAGUGUUGAGGAACGGUCUUCCAAGGAUGGUGGGUGGAUCAUAUUCGUCUUCUCCCAUGUCAAUGACCUGAAAAUCAUCUAGAGCUGAAUAUAUUGGUUGUAGGGGCAUGGUUCCAUGCAGGAGCUGAUAAGUGACUGCGGCCAUUAUGUUGUCGUCAGAUCUGGUGUCGUAGAGUGUCUUAUGGAAAGAGUAUCCAUUGAUUGCGCACUCGAUGCUUGGAACACCAGGGUCGUCCUUCUUGAUCAAGAAAGGUGACUUGAGUCGACGAUGUUGACCUCUUCCGACAAGGAUCCAAUGUUUUAAGUCUUCUGGACAAGACUUUCCACCAUCUUCAUCCUUUAGGUGCAUUUUGAUUAGGUGUGGACCUUGACGUCUGCACCUCUUGAUACGGUGUCACCCAUGUUCUUCUUUGCCCAGGAGUUCGAAGUAUGGUGUUGGCAAUAUCCUGCUCAGUGUGUUUGUGCUCAUAGAUCCAGGUCCUUCACUUGGUGGAGUCUGGGAGUUGUAAAACUCCUCCAUGUUUUGCUUGAAGUGUACAUGUUCAUAGAGACAAGGCAGAGAUCAAGUGCAUGGGCUCUGUUGGUGGAAAACACCAACAGAACCAAAAGUGUAUUUGUUCUUCUCUAACCUUAAGCAUAGUGAGCAAGACAAAGUUGAUGGAUAAUAAGAUCAUGAGUGUAGUAUUUGAAACAUUUGUCACAUCAGAUGGCUCAACCUAAUGGAAAGAUAAUCUAUUCAUAUUUAUGUUUUGUUUAUAUCUUCCAAAUAAUGAAUGUGCAACAUAUUAGCUUAUAUGUUUAGGAGCGUGGGAUCACGAAGGUAGUACUAAGAAAAAAGAUUAAAGGACUAAACAUGUUGAAUUAAUUGAGUUGGUUAAUCUGGAGUUAUAAAUCAUACAUGUUUGUCUCUUUAUUUAUGUGAAUGCUAGAACCAAGGAGAAGCUUAUAAAAGCGAUAGUCAAGUACCUUAAGGUGUUACCUUACUUGAAGAGUGACGGUACAGUAUCACCUUGUGGAAGCUUUCCUUUCUUAGCGGUUGUGCAUCGUGUUUGUGACACCCUCCAUGAAUCAUCUCUUAUGAGCCACGUCUUUCUUGUGCAAAUUGUUAAACUUCAUGUGUCACUUUCUUCAUCUCCAAUGCGAGUUUAUCUCAGGACUUCCCAGGUUGAUAUUGAAAGUUUCCCUGUAGGGGUUAGUCCAACAAAAUAUCCCAUAUCUACUAUAGCAUACUAUCGGCUUAAAAAUCAACCUAGACACCAUGUCUAAUUUGAUUUAGAAGGGCAUUUUAACCUAAGCACCAUGCUUAAUUUAAAAUCCCUUGGAAGUAAGAUCAUCAUUCCUAAACUAAGCACCAUGCUUAAUUAAGAGAUAAAUGAAACUAUUCCAAACCUAGACAUAUACUAAAGCAAAUAAAGGUAGCAUGAGAGCAUUUAUAGAGAUCUACUUAAGUGGAGAUGAAGUAGUGUAAUUAGUAUUUAACAAAUUGAGCAUGUCUCAAAGGUAAGGACAACCACCGUAGCAACAUGGCAAAAGAUGUUUUUAUGUAAAGUACUCCCCCAAGCUUGAAUUUUACAGAAUUCAAGUUUGGAUGAAUUUAAUUCAAUGUUGUGUGAUGGUUGGUUGGACAUACCCUGUGCUUGUCAUUCAUCCGAUCUUCUUGCUCCAAUCCUGGAAAGGUUAGUGACAAGAAUACCCGAAGGAAUAUUUCUACAAUUAUCUUUAUAUGCUCAAUACACAAGGCAAUGUUGCCAAUAAUUAGAAGUUCAUGUUGUGAUCUGAUAGGUGCUUGUUUUAGGACACUAAGCUUGUCCUUGGGAAACCAUCAAGUUAUGUUGGUGAAGUGGUUUCCCCUCCAACACCUACCUAUAUCAAGAUCAACUCAACGAGAUCUGCAAUAUUUAUUAUAGACAUAUGCAUCGACAACCGCCCUUUUAAAGUUUUUAUAAAUGAAGAGGAAGAUUGGGUUGGAGAUCUCAAAUGUGGUAAGGAUGGAGAGACAAAUUGAUUGGAGAGAUGUUUUAUAUGAGCAAGGACUGGGGGAGGUAUUUAUGAAAUAACUUCCAUGCUCACUGUUGUUUCUCUCAUUCUUAAACUCCAAGGUUGAUUCUUCAUGAAUGCUUAAAAUUCCUCUAGGAUUGUCUCUUAAGUUUGUUUUAUCUAUCCAUUCAAUGGUGAUAGCACAUGGAUUUUUAAUGCCCUCUAGCCAUUGAUGUUGCUCUUCUCGAUCCUCCUUCUUAUGCAUGGGAUGUCUAGAGAGAUUCAUAGGAUUAUCGGGAGGUUCAAGAGAAAAAGCAUAGUAGAAAUUAUUAAGGAUGGUUUGAAUAGCCAAAUUAUGGGAUUGAAAUGUUUGGAAAUCGGCUAUUGAAACUUCCUUUCCUCGUCUGGGAGAUGAUUCCUUCUCUAUUUCUAAGAUUUUUCUAUGAAGACUAGUGCAAGAAGGAUGUCUACGAAUGAAGACAUACCUUCCUUUACUAAUAGAUAAAGAAAGAAAGACUCUACCAAAGGUUAUAUGAUUAAGACCAAUGUGAAAAUAUCUAGGAAAAACAUGGUCUUGUAGGGCUACGUCUAAACCAGAAUUUAUAGAAAGAUUAAAAGAUUCCCUAGGUGUAGCUAAAAGUGCAUUAUCUUUUUGAUUAAAAGAUAGGACCUCAGCUAUAGAAAAAGGUUGGUUUUGACCUAUUGCAAUCAACUCCGGUCACAGAUCAUAAUUAGGGGCAGGACGUGUUGACUCCCAUGGUCUAUGGCUGGUCUCCGAAGGUGCAAAGAAUUUAAUAAUAGGUAUGGAAUUUGAGUUAUCCAUAAAGAUAAAAAUAAAAAGAUAAAAGAAUAAAAGUAUAAAAGUAUAAUACAAGAUAAUAGCAAGACUCAAAGUUAUCUCAGCAAACCGUCUUUCUCCCCGGCAACGGUGCCAAAAAUGCUUGUUGAUAUUUGGUAACGCAAUAAGGAAACGAUCCGCAAGCGCACGGAUAUCAGUGAGCAUUUCACCCAGGAGGUUAUCCAGAGUUAUCGUAUUUAUAUUUUUACCACUAGGAGAAAGGGUGCAUCUGACUAACCAAAUCUAUUGCUACUAUCCCUUUAGGCACAAAGAAUGUCUUUCGAUGUGAGUGAUAAAUAGAGAAGACUGCAACCGUAGUCUCCUUCUAACCUUGGUAAGGAUGAUCUACUGUUCUAAUGGGGAGGCUAACGGAAUCUAGACAACACAAAGGAUGUUCAACCCGCACCUAUAAACCCUAUCCUUCCUGCUAACGAGAUGUGAUCUACAAAGGUAACUCGGAAUUGUCACGUUCCUCACUACUACCACGGUCCAGCUAGUCAGGGAACAUCUAUGAGUACCCCAGCCUAAACACCACGUUUACGCCAGCAAUGAUUACUCUAAACUCUACGCGAAGAGAUUAAAGUAUACUCAUAAACCAUAAGAACAAUAAAACAAGAACUUACUAGAAUUUAGAAGUCGAAUUACUGAAGAAUCCUAGGAGCAAGCUUCGGGAUAGGAGAACUUCAUCCCGCGGGUACAAGCUUGGAGUAGACACCGACAGGCCGGGCUUCCUCCAAUCUACACCUCCACUCUAUCUCUCUCAAUCUAGUAGAAACUAGAAGAUCUAUUUCUACCUUACAUUGGUUGCUAAGCCUAAAAAGAAAUAUUAAUUAGAGAAGAGGUUUUCCUUCGAGGGCACCCGUCAGUCUCUAUGAUAAUUUCUUCAUGUCUUCUCCAGGGGCCAGGGGGGUCUCCUUAUAUAGUCCUCCCCUUCUAUGCGUUUUUGGGUCGAUAGGCGAGGUGGUACUAUGUUUUCCUUGAUCCAAUAGGUCGGUGGAACAUCCCGUGCGAAGAGAGUCCUGAUUGGCAUCCAACAGGGGGCGGGCGCCCAGGUCCUCAGGGCGGGCGCCCUGGGCCUGGCCCCUUUCGGCCUCCGCUUCCUUCCCGUGGCUUCUGGAGUCUUCUAGAUGGUAGAAAAUUGCACGGUGCGUUGAUAUCUCUAUGUAAUCCUGACAUGUGGGCCUUUCUUCCGUAUUUCCUGAUAACCCCCUGCAGAAAUAGACAAACACCAAAACUCGUGGAAUUCUAUCAGAUAAAACCCUAAGUCUAGAUGUUGAUUUCAUUUGGAUCCUUUUCUUUGUUUAUUUGAUAAUUAAAUUUGAUACUUAAGGACCGUCAACAGUAGGCCGCGUAGGUGACAGUUACGUUGGUCCUCUGUAGUCCACCUCUUGUUAUCAGGACGGGUAGGGUUUAUCGGCCUAAGGAUAAGCAUCCUUCGUGGUGUACUCUUAUCACGUGGUUCGUCCCAGACAUAGACAUACCCCUUUGAAGUAGAGAAACCAUAGUUAUCCUCUCUAUUCUUCUACCAUCGCCCAUAUACUAGAAUUGCUCUAUUCUCUAUUCCCAUAUUAUCACUCACUGUUAUCUUACCUUUAAUAUUGUUCUUAUUCAAUUCUACCAUCUUUCCUAUUUACACCUAUUUACUUAUCUUGGUUAAGUUAGAGCGUAGAUCAGUUCUCCCGUUUCCCUGUGGAUACGAUAAAACCUUUAACCGGGUAAAAGCUUCAACGGUAUCCGUGCGCUUACGGAUUAUCUGUGUGCGUAUAAAUACCGUAGUACACUCUAGUGCCAUGCUGGGGAUGACAACCUAGUAUUCAAGUGGUGUUAGCAAGUGCGUAUAAAUACCUCCAGCUUAUGAUUUAAUUCCGCUCCCAAAUCGGUACAAGGUACCGGAUUUCACAAAAUUCUCUGGACAAGAUGACACAUCAACCAUGCAACAUGUCAAUUGGUUCAUCAUCCAGUGUGGAGAAGCUUCUAAUAGAGAUGAGUUAAGAGUGUGUUUAUUUUCAUCAUCUUUGCCUGGAUCGACAUUUACCUGAUUUAUUUCAUUGCCUCUGAACUAAGUCAUUACGUGGGCCGAUCUAGAGAAGCAGUUUCACAAGUAUUUCUUUUCUAGAGUUCAUGAGAAGAAGAUUAUCGAUUUAGUAAGACUAAAGCAAUGCAAUGAUGAAUCGGUUGAAAGCUUUGUGCAGAGGCUGUGGGAUAUAAAAAACAAAUGUUACAGUCUAGUUCUGGACGAUCGGCAGUUAGCCGAUUUGGCUUUCCAGGGGUUAUUGCCACAUAUCAAAGAUAAAUAUGCUUCUCAGGAAUUUGAAAGCUUGAGUCAUUUGGUGCAGAGGAUUUUUGAUCAAGACAUCAAGGUUUUUGAACCUAGAAAAGCCUGGAAUAAAAAAGUAUCAUUUGUUGAUGAGGCAGUGAGUUCAGAUUCUGAUGAAGAACCAAUCAUCGACUUGGUAGAGUGGGUAAAAAACAAAAAGCCGAUGUCCUUCCCUUUUGGCCAAAAAGAACCAGAGAAGUUUCCUUUCGAUAUCACUAAGGCCGAUAGGAUAUUUGAUUUCUUGCUUCAGGAGGGGCAGAUUGAAUUGUCAACUAAUCAUGUGAUCCCAUCGGUAGAAGAGUUAAAGAAAAUCAAGUAUUGCAAAUGGCACAAUGCAACAUCACACAGCACAAAUGAGUGCAAAGUGUUUAGGCAGCAAUUGCAAUCGGUUAUAGAAUCUGGAAGAAUUAAGUUUGACAAUUCCAAAGUUCAAAAGCCGAUGAAAAUUGAUCAACAUCCUUUCCCUGCAAAUAUGUUGGAUGCCAAAGGUAAGACUAAGGUCUUAACAUCAGAAACAGCUGAAAAGAAUGCAUCACUGGAUCCUCAGCAUCAAGUAACUACCGAUGACUCUAAAGGUAAAGGCUUGAUCAAGGAGGGUAGCAGCUCUGGAUGGCCUCCCUGAUGUGGCAUUGUGACUACUCAUAGACGGCAUCGGAAAACAUGGCAACAGCGUGAAGAUCGGUAUCGCCGUAAGCAAGAAGAUCGACGUCAGGAAGAAAAAAGGCGCCGACAGGAGUGGAAUCGACAUAGGGAUCAUUGGGAUUGCCCAUUCUUUGUUCAUUGUUGGGAGCAUAAUAUCAAUUUGCCGACUGUUCGAGAUUGCCCUGAGUGUAAUGGUUAUCGUCGACAUGAUCGGUCAAAUCAGAGAUACCAAAAUGAUGAUCGACGUUUCAAUGGACCGACUAGGGGAAGAAUGUCAGUUCAUGAUCGGCUGGGGGUAGGCUCAGCGUGCAUGAUAGGCUUAGUGACCAUGUCAGCCCUUUUCCCAGGAAUCAGGAAGAACUUGAAGAGAUGGCAAAUGCACGGGUUCCCGAUGAGUUUUUAUUUUGCAGAGAUGCUAACAUUCAUCGGGUGGAAUCAAAGGAAGUUUGCUAUCAGCCAGUAUGGAGGACAAAACUUCCUCGAUGGUGUCUAGAAGGACUAACAAGGAUGCAGAGAAGGAGGAUGCAGCAAGAACGUCAAGAAGAUUUGAAUAGGGAAGGAAAUUCUUCUAAGUCUGAGAAUCGGCAGCAAUCGGAUCCCAAGGGAAAGGUACCAUCGGUAGAUGUUAACAUGGUGUUUAUGUUGCCGAUGGAGUUUCUUGCACCCUUUAGUGAUGAUGAGGAAUUAAGUCUCCCUGAUCAGAUAGCUCAGUUGACACUUGAUCCAAUGACAGCUAUUUUUGAGAAGCCUUCCGAUGAUGAAAGACAACAUCUUAAAGCUUUGUUCAUGAAAGGCAGGGUUGAUGAGCAGCCGAUUUCCAUAAUACUUAUUGAUGGGGGAGCUGCAAUUAACAUCAUGUCGUAUGUGAUGUAUCGGAAGCUUGGCAAAGGAGAUCAGGAUUUAACCAAAACCAAUAUGAUGUUGAAAGGUUUUAAAGGAAAUGUGUCUCCAGUUAAGGGAGCUAUAUGCGUUAAAUUAACCAUCGGCAGCAAGACCUCGCCGAUGGCCUUCUUUGUUAUCAAUGGAAAAGGUGCAUAUAAUUUACUACUGGGGAGAGAUUGGAUUCAUGCCAAUUGCUGUAUUCCUUCUACAAUGCAUCAAUGCCUUGUUCAGUGGGUAGGUGACAAAAUUGAGAUUGUCUCAGGAGAAAUCUUCAUAUGUCAUUGCAUCGGCGGAACCAGACACCUAUGAGCGGACCAGAUGCAUAUCAGGAGAGGACUGGGAGAAAGAUUUCCUCAAGGUUGCCGAUUAUGAAAUUCCACCGCUCCAAGCAGUCGGUUCUAAUGAAGAGUUUUAAUGGAUAGGUUCGCCGAUGAUGGAAAGUUAGGACAGGGGUUUACAUCGGCUGAUGAUUUAAUAGAAAUAGACAUAGGAAGUGGUGAUAGGCCAAGGCCUACCUUUAUUAGUGCUAAGUUAGAUUCUGAAUGUAAGCAGCAAUUAACCGAUUUGUUAAAAGAAUAUAAAUAUUGCUUUGCUUGGAAUUAUACCGAGAUGCCUGGUUUAGACCGAUCAAUUGUUGAACAUCGGUUGCCUAUUAAAUCUAGAUUUCAGCCACAUCAGCAGCCAGCACGCCGAUGUAACCCUAAUAUUCUUCCUGAUAUUAAGGCUGAAAUAACCAAACUCAUUGAGGCUAAGUUUAUUCGGCAGUAUCGGUAUGCCGAAUGGAUUUCUAAUGUUGUUCCUGUCUACAAAAAGAAUGGAAAACUUUGUGUUUGCAUCGACUUUAGGAAUCUCAAUAAAGCUACGCUAAUGGAUGGUUAUCCAAUGCCAGUUGCUGAUUUGUUGGUUGAUGCUGUAGCUCGACAUCGAAUUAUUAGUUUCAUGGAUGGCAAUGCAGGAUACAAUCAAAUAUUCAUAGCUGAGGAGGAUGUUCCCAAAACUGUAUUUAGAUGUCCUGGUCAUGUUGGGUUAUUUGAGUGGAUAGUCAUGACUUUUGGCUUGAAAAAUGCUGCUGCUACUUAUCAAAGGGCCAUGAAUUUUAUUUUCCACGAGUUCAAGAGCAAGUUGGUAGAAAUCUAUAUUGAUGAUGUAGUGGUUAAGUCUGAAGAUUUCAUAAAACAUCUAGCUGAUUUGCGAAAAGUGUUGGAGUGCACAAGGAAACAUGGUUUGAAGAUGAACCCUAAUAAAUGUGCAUUUGGUGUAUCGGCAGGUUAGUUUCUAGGUUUCAUGGUGCAUUAGAGAGGAAUUGAAAUUAGCAGAAGAUCCAUUGAUGCGAUUGGCAAAGUAGUUGCUCCUACCAUUAAAACUAAACUUUAGUCAUUGAUCGGCAAGAUUAAUUUUAUCAGACAAUUUAUAUCCAAUUUGUUGGGUAAGAUUCGUGCUUUCAGUCAUUUGCUUAAAUUAAAAGCCAAUUAAGAGUUUGUGUGGGGAAAAGAGCAACAAUUAGCCUUGGAUGAAAUCAAGAAUUAUUUGGCAAAUCCUCCAGUCUUGGUUCCACCUCAGCAUGGAAAGCCCUUCAGAUUAUAUUUAUCUAUCGAUGAUGCAGUCAUCGAUUCAGCUCUUUCAAGAAUUUCAAGGGAAAGAACGUGUAAUUUACUACCUGAGUAGAAGAUUGAUGGAUGCUAAGACAAGGUAUUCGACAACUGAAAAAUUAUGACUAUGCUUGUACUUUUCUUGCAUCAAGUUAAGACAUUACUUGUUAUCGGCCGAAUGUAGUGUCAUAUGCAAGGAUGACGUAGUUAGAUACAUCAUUUGUCGAUGCCGAUUAUGAGUGGUAGAAUUGGCAAAUGGAUACUAGCAAUAUCAGAGUUUGACCUAUGUUAUGAAUCGGCUAAGGUAGUUAAAGGGCAAGUCAUGGCCGAUUUUGUAACUCAGCAUUGUGGUGUGGUGGAUGCUCUGGAAAUUGUUCCUUGGACACUCUUCUUUGAUGGAUCUACAUGUGAUCGAGGGGCAGGUAUCUGUGUAGUAUUGAUUUCUCCUUGAGGAAAGAAAUAUGAAUUUUCUUUACCGAUUGUUGCUACAUCGACAAACAAUCACGCUGAGUACCAAGCCCUAAUCAAAGGGUUAGAAUUAUUAAAGGAAGUUCAUGCUGAUACUGUCAAAAUUUUUGGUGAUUCUAUGCUUGUUAUAAAUCAGUUGGCUGGGAUUUAUGAAUGCCGAAGUGAAGUUUUGAUAGCACAUUAUGAAAGAUGUGUACAAUUAUUGAAGAAAUUCAGGGAUUUCCGAUUAGAGCAUAUUCCCCGGCUGCAUAAUGAAGAAGCUAACGGUUAGCUCAACACGCCUCGGGAUAUCAACCCAUCUUGGAAGUAUUAUCGGUAAUCAGUACCGAUGAUUGGAGAAAAGAAAUUAUUGAUUAUUUAAAAGAUCCGUCUAGAAAAGUUGAGAGGUGUGUUAGGUUUGAGCUACAAAGUAUGUACUCCUUGAUCAGGAAUUAUAGUAUCGUACAAUAGAUGGAGUUCUACUUAGAUGUUUGAGUGAUGAUGAGUCCAAAAGCUUGAUGGGUGAAAUUUAUGAGGGAGUAUGUGGAGCACAUCAGUCAGCUUUUAAAAUGAAGUGGAUGAUUAGAAGGAAUGGAUAUUAUUGGCCAACUAUACUUGAGGAUUGUUUCAAGUAUUUCAAAGAGUGUCAAGGUGUCAGAAGUUUGGCAAUAUUCAAAGGACACCCGCAUCGGCUAUGAAUCCUAUUAUUAAACCUUGGCCGUUGCGGGGUUGGGCUAUUGAUCUCAUCGGUCAAAUUUAUCCGCCGUCGAGUAAAGGGCAUAAGUUUAUCCUAGUUGCCACUAAUUAUUUCACUAAAUGGGUUGAGGCUAUUCCUUUAAAGAAAGUGACAUCGGCUAAUAUGAUUGAUUUUGUAAAGGAGCAUAUUGUUUACCGAUUUGGUAUUCCUCAAACGAUAACUACCGAUCAGGGUACUAUGUGUAUCAGGGGAGUUUGAUGAAUUUGCAAUUGGUAUGGGGAUUAAAGUGUUGAAUUCUUCUCCUUACUAUGCUCAAGCCAAUGGACAGGCCGAAGCUUCCAACAAAGGGAUUAUUAAACUCAUUAAAUAGAAGAUUGAGGAAAAUCUGAGACGGUGGCAUACUCUAUUGAAUGAAGCCUUAUGGUCGUAUCGGAUGGCAUGUCAUGGUUCAACCAAAGUGUCACCUUAUCAAAUGGUGUAUGUACAUGAUGCAGUACUACCUUGGGAAAUUAAAACUGGUUCUAGGUGAAUGCUUUCUCAGGAUCAAUUAACUACCGAUGACUAUACUACUCUGAUGAAAGAUGAGUUGGAUGAUUUAGCAGGGCAUCGGUUAAGAGCUUUAAUUAGCAUAGAAGAAAAUAAAAAGAGAGUGGCUAAGUGGUAUGAUAAAAAGGUGAAGGCCAAGGAAUUUGCCAAUGGGGAUUUGAUUUGGAAAUUAGUUUUAUCGAUUGGGACUAAAAGUUCAAAAUUUGGAAAAUGGUCUCCUAAUUGGGAAGGUCCUUAUCGGAUAAAUCUGUCUGCCCCAGGCAAUGCCUAUAUGUUAGAAACUCUCGAAGGAGUUGAAUUUCCUAGGGCGUUAAAUGGAAAGUACUUAAAAAUAUACUACCCCAGUAUCUGGGUUAAUGCAUAAAAGUAUAUAUAUGCCAAUAACAGUCCUAUCUGCUGGACGAAAUUAUAGUGUGUCUGAAGCAAUGCAUAAGAAUUUUUGGUGUCGAUAACAAUCCUAUCGGCUGGAUCAAAUACUGGUGUUUUCAAAAGAACUGAUUAGGCAUACUGCCGAUGAAAGGAUUUACACGUUCAGCAAAGUCUGGAUAGCCGAUAUCGCACGCAGGCGAAUUUGAUUGGCUUCCACUAUUUCUUUGGCAUCUUCAUCGGCAGAGCCUUCCACUGGUUUCAACUUUUUAUUCAUUUGCAAUACCUUGCAAGCUUGGGCAUCCCUCUCUUGUUGAAGAUUCUUGAGCGCAUCGGGUAGUUGAAUUUCUUCCUAUUGAGCCUGGGACAAACCUUCCUCCACUUGUUUAAGCUCAGCAAGCAAGGCCUCUCUUCUUGCCGAUAGAUCAGAAAUCUUCUGUUUUAAUUCAUCACCUGAAGAAUGCAGAAUGCUGAUGCUCUUAUGCUUUUCAUCAGCAGCGUGCUUCACUUGCAGCAUCCCCUCUUUAAGCUGGGUUUGAGUGGCUCUAUCGGCAAGGCGUUGGACGGCCUUUUGGUAUUGAAGCUGGCGACUCUCUAGGUGAGCCGCUUGGAAGAGCAUCUCCUCGACAUCGGCAGGAAUUUGGCCAUAGAGAGUCUUAAAUAUGACUUUGGCUGGAUCAGAAUCAUCUACCCGCUGAGCUGUGUCUUCCUGCAAUAGGGCUAGUAAGUCUUCCAGCUUGGAUUUGAUCUCUGCCGAUGCGAUUCCAAGUGCUAAUGAAGAGCUUUCUUCUUCACCUUCGUCAUCAGAGAUGUCGAUGGCAAAGGAGAACAAGCUAUCGGGAGAAUCUUGCUCCUAGGGGAAGAAGAGGAUAAGUUAACCAGAAUUGAGUAUCGAUAAUGCAAAGUCUGAUGGAUCGGAUGACUUACUUGUUAUAAAUCAAUCUCUUGUCUCUGGCAUGGAGAUGAAGCUUGCACUAUAAUUUGAUCGGCUGGAGCUGCCGAUGGAAUAUCUUCAACUGAAAAUUACCAAGGGUGAUGAUGGUAUUUAUAAAAGAAGUCAUCGGUAAAGAUUAUGUGAUCAGUAUUAUUGACACCAUUUUUGGACACAUAUCUUUGAAUACGUAUCUGGAGUUAAUGAGGAGUAGAUCGGCAAGCAGGAAGAUGGUGGCUGGUUCGUGAAAGGUCCUAAUAUGGCUAGAGGGGGGUGAAUAGCCUAUUUAAAAAUUCUACAAACUCACUAGAGCAAGAGGUUAGUAAAAAAAGAAAGCGAAGCUUUUUGCUCUAGCUCUAAAGGGGUGUUUGCAAGCCACCUACCCAACAAUUCUAGUUGCUAAGAACAUUAACCACACAAGAACUAAGCUACACAAGGCAAAGAAAGCAACUAAACUAAUUACACUAGUUUACGGUAAGUAAGGAUAAGAUGAGAUAUUUAUACCGCCGUGUAGGGGAUGAACCAAUCACCAAUAUAAACAAUCAAGCACCGGAGAAUGCCAAUCAAACACAAUUGAGACACCGAUUUUUCUCCCGAGGUUCACGUGCUUGCCGGCACGCUACGUCCCCGUUGUGUCGACCAACACUUGGUGGUUCGGUGGCUAAGAGGUGUUGCACGAACCUCGUCCUCACUAGGACACCACAAGAACCUACCCACAAGUGAGGUAGCUCAAUGACACGAGCAAUCCACUAGAGUUACCUUUCGGCUCUCCGCCGGGGAAGGUACAAGACCCCUCACAAUCACCGGGAGAUGGCCACGAACAAUCACCAACUCGUGCCAAUCCUCCUCCGCUGCUCCAAGCCGUCUAGGUGGCGGCAACCACCAAGAGUAACAAGAAAACCGCAGCCAAAACGAUCCCCAAGUGCCACUAGAUGCAAUCACUCAAGCAAAUGCACUUGGAAUCACUCCCAAUCUCACAAAGAUGUUUAAUCUAUGAAGGAGAUGAGCGGGAAGAGUUUGCUUAGGCUCACAAGGAUGUCAAGUAGGUUAGAAUGCCAAGAGAGUGAGCCCCAAGCCGGCCAAACACGUAUUUAAAAGCCCCUCAAACAAAUAGAGCCGUUGGCUCUUCCACUGGGCAAAACUCGGGGUCACCGGACGCUCUUAAAGGGGCACCGAACGCUCAACACCAGCGUCCGGUGCUCUAAAGUCAGCCACGUGUUGCUAUUUGAAACGCUCGUGUCAGAGUCUAACGGUCACCUGCAGUGCACCGGACGCUGAGCAAGUUGGCACCGGACGCGUCCGGUGCACACCGGACUCAUGCGCAGAGAGUUCCGCAAACUCGCAGGGUCACCGGACGCAAGCCACCGGACGCACCCUCAGGGUCUGGUGCUCACCGGACCCAUGCGCAGAGAGGGUCGCAAAACGCCCGCACACCGGACGCUAACCACCGGACGCUCAAGCCAGCGUCCGGUGCCUAUCGUCCGGUGCCUUACCCUAGCUGGGCCAGGCACUGUCUGCACCGGACGCUCAGACGCAGCGUCCGGUGCUCCAGAAGCCAGCGUCCGGUGAGUGUUUUCUCAGCAAGAAACACUCCCGCGACUUCUCCAAAUUUCCCACCGGUGCAAUAGAAAAUAUGCACUUCAUUUUCUCAAAAAGCACCGAAUCCCGCCGAGCUUGCGACACCACAAUGUGUGCCAACACCACAACGUGUAAACCAACAUGUGCACAUGUGUUAGCAUUUUCACAAACAUUUUCUUCGAAGGAGUUAAGUUAGCUCACUAGGUUCUAAAUGCAUGCACAAGAACAAUGACACCUAGUGGCACUUGAUAACCGCUUAGCCAAAGAAUUCCCCUCUUUAUAGUACGGCUAUCUAUCCUAAAUGUGAUCACACCCUCUAUGGUGUCUUGAUCACCAAAACCAAAACCCUAAGCAAUACCUUUGCCUUGAACUCCAUAGGGUUUUGUUUUUCUCUUUCUUCUUUUCAAGUUGAGCAUUUGAUCAUCUUGUGGUUAUCACCAUCAACACCAUGAUCAUCACUUGCUCCAUCACUUGGCAUGUACCAACCUCAUUAAGUCUACACACACUUAGCAUAGAGGUUAGUACUAGGGUUUCAUCAAUUAUCCAAAACCAAACUAGGGCUUUCAAUCUCCCCCUUUUUGGUAAUUGAUGACAACCCUUUUUACAAAGAUUUUCAAUAAAAUUUUCUUUGAUUCAUGUUGCUUGCCCAAGCAUUUUACCAUGUGCAAAGGUGAUGGACAAGUUUCAUAAAACCAAAUUGGUAGCAAUUGCUCCCCCUACAUAUGUGCUAAGAGUUUGGAUUUUAAAGCUUGCACAUAUGCUUGAAUAGGAAAUAUAGGAGUCAAUUUCUACCAAAUGAUGCUAAGGUAUAAAGAAUGGACCUUUGAAGCGUGAUACCAAUCAGAGUUGCCAAUAUACACCAUCCUUAGCACCAUUAGUAACUAGACAUUCACAAAACUAGAACACCCCAUGAGAUCAACAUUAUAAACAAGGUUCUAGUACCACUUGUGAAACAACUAAAGGUCUAGUUACACUACCUAUGCAUGCUAGUUCUUCAUUUCAUCAAUCAAGCCUACAACUAGCAUACACCACACAAGCAAGGCAUUGGAGAGAAAGCUUCUAAAGCUAAUGCAAAUGCAAGCAAACAUAUGUGAUGCAUAUUCAAAUGCAAUAUACAAGUUUAUGAGCUUGCUCCCCCUACUUGUGUGCUUCAAAUUUUAAUUUGAACCCCUUCUUUUAUUAUGUUACUCUCCUAUCUUAAAUCUUUGGGAAAUUCUCUCCCCCUUUGUCAUCAAAGACCACAAAAGGUGAGCUCAAAUUUUAGAUAGGUUAGUGUGAAACCAUGUGAAGUGAGAUCAUUUUACCAAAUUGGUCCAAUCUAGAUUACUUGCCUAAGACAUUUAACUCGGUUUGAUCCAAGGACAAGCUUCUUCACACCUCCAAGUAAGGUUAUCUUGUACCAUGUUGAGUUAAACACUUAUAGCUCAUAUUCUAGAUCAAACACUAGGAUUGCAAACCCACAAACAUGUCAUAUGCUACCACUAGAUCAAGUCAAGCAUAAAAACAAUAGUGGUACCAUACAAACAUCAAAUUCAUUUGAUUUUCAUGAAUGAUCCUAAGACAUGUAAGGAAUGACUAGAUGCACUACACAAGUCCUUAGCAUAGGAUGGAUGACAUGUCAAUCAAUUUUACCUUGCUUUGCUCGAAGGAGAGGCAUGUCAUAUAAUGGGGUGCAUCAACACAUAUUUGAGAAGUCAAGUAUGUUCAAUUCAUUCCUUAGCUUGCAAAACCUCUUCUCAUCAAGUGGCUUGGUGAAUAUAUCGGCAAGUUGAUCAUCGGUGCCUAUACUCUCAAUGCAAAUGUCCCCUUUUUGUUGGUGAUCUCUUAUGAAAUGAUGGCGUACAUCUAUGUGCUUUGUUCUUGAGUGUUGAACCGGAUUGUUGGUGAGCUUCACGGCACUUUCAUUGUCACAUAGCAAUGGCACUUCUUUGAAAUUGAUUCCAAAAUCUUUCAAUGUUGCCUUCAUCCAUAGAAUUUGUGCACAACAACUACCGGCCGCAAUGUACUCCGCUUCGACGGUUGAUAGUGCAACACUAUUUUGCUUCUUGGAUGACCAUGAGACAAGUGAUCUACCCAAUAGUUGACAUGUGCCCGAUGUGCUUCUUCUCUCAACUUUGCAUCCCGCAUAGUCCGAAUCGGAAUAUCCAACAAGUUCAAACUUUGCACCUUUGGGAUACCACAAACCAACAUUUUGUGUACGCUUCAAGUACCUCAAUAUUCUCUUUGUUGCUUUCAAAUGACUUUCUCUUGGUGAGGCUUGGAAUCUUGCACACAUGCAUACACUAAACAUGACAUCCGGUCUUGAUGCGGUCACAUAGAGUAGGCUUCCAAUCAUAGACCGAUACAACUUUUGAUCCACCAUAUUUCCACUUGUGUCACUAUCUAGGCUUCCAUUUGUUCCCAUCGGAGUGCUAAUUGCCUUUGCAUCAUCCAUACAAAACUUCUUGAGCAUGUCUUUUAUGUACUUGCCUUGACUUACAAAUGUGCCAUUCUUCAAUUGCUUGAUUUGAAGACCAAGGAAGUAGCUAAGUUCUCCAAUCAUUGACAUCUCAAACUCAUUAGCCAUCAUGUUGCCAAACUCUUCACAAAAUUCUUGAUUGGUUGAUCCAAAUAUGAUAUCAUCAACAUAGAUUCGCAACACAAACAAGUCUUUGUCAAUCUUCUUGGUGAAGAGUGUGGUGUCAACCUUGCCCAUCUUGAAACCUUUAGAGAGUAAGAAAUCUCCCAAUCUCUCAUACCAUGCUCUAGGUGCUUGCUUCAAACCAUACAAUGCCUUUCUUAGCUUGUAAUCAUGGUUGGGUUUCUUGUCAUCUUCAAAACCGGGAGGUUGCUCAACAUAAACUUCUUCAUUGAUAUAGCCAUUGAGAAAUGCACUCUUCACAUCUAUUUGGUAUAGCUUGAUGUUAUGAGCACAAGCAUAGGCCAACAAGAUCCUAAUUGCUUCCAAUAUUGCAACCGGGGCAUAUGUUUCACCAAAGUCAAGACCUUCAACUUAAGUAUAGCCUUGUGCUACCAAUCUUGCUUUGUUCCUUACAACUAUCCCAUCUUGAUCUUGCUUGUUGCGAAAGACCCAUCUAGUACCAAUGACAUUGUGAUCACUAGGCCUCUCAACUAAUUCCCAUACUUGAUUUCUCUUGAAAUUGUUAAGCUCUUCAUACAUAGCAUUAACCCAAUCAACAUCUCUCAAUGCUUCAUCAAUCUUUUUUGGCUCAAUGUGAGACACAAAGGAGAAAUGCUCACAAAAUGAUGCUAUUCUUGAUCUAGUUUGCACUCCUCUUUGAAUGUCACCUAUGAUAUGAUCCAAUGGAUGAUCUCUUGCAAUAUUUGUUGGUUGGAGUAUUUGUACUUGAUUGCUUGCACUUGGUUGAUCAUGAGAUGAUGUACUAGCUUGUUGAUCUUGCACUUGUGUACCACUUGUACUAGCUUGAUUUUGAUCAUGAGAACCACUAGCUUGCACAUUAGAGGUAGGAAGCACUUGAUCUUUGUCAUCUUCAACAUCAAUCACCUCUCUAGGCCUUAAAUCACCAAUGUCCAUAUUCUUCAUUGCAUCGGCCAAUUGAGUGCCUAUCACAUCAUCUAGAUUUUCAUCUUCCUCUUGAGAGCCAUUUGUUUCAUCAAACUCAACAUCAUGCAACUCUUCAAGAGUACCACUAGCCAAAUUCCAAACUCGAUAAGCUUUGCUAGUAGUGGAGUAACCAAGCAAGAAUCCUUCAUCACAUUUCUUUUCAAAUUUACUCAAUCUAGUGCCUUUCUUCAAUAUGUAGCAUUUGCAACCAAAAACCCGAAAGUAUGCAAUGUUGGGCUUUCUUCCAUUCAAGAGCUCAUAUGGUGUCUUCUCCAUCAUUGGGUGACAAUAGAGUCGGUUGCUAUAGUAGCAAGCCGUGUUGAUUGCUUCAGCCCAAAAAGAAUGACUCACAUUGUACUCACUCAACAUUGAUCUUGCCAUGUCAAUCAAGGUUCUAUUCUUCCUCUCAACAAGACCAUUUGAUUGUGGAGUGUACUUGGCCGAGAAUUGAUGCCUAAUGCCAAAUUCAUCACAAAGCUCAUCAACUCUUGUAUUCUUGAAUUCGCUUCCAUUGUCACUUCUCACUUUCUUGAUGGUUGUUUCAAACUCAUUGUGUAUUCUCUUGACAAAUGAUUUGAAGGUUCCAAAAGCAUCACUCUUGUCACUAAGAAAGAAUACCCAUGUGUAUCUUGUGAAAUCAUCCACUAUCACAAAUCCAUAUUUGUUUCCACCAAUGCUUGUGUAUGUGGUUGGUCCAAAUAAGUCCAUGUGCAACAACUCAAAUGCCUUGCAUGUACUCAUGAUGCUCUUCUUGGGAUGAGUGUUGCCAACUUGCUUUCCGGCUUGAAAUGCACUACAAAGCUUGUCUUUCUCAAAUGUAACAUCUUUCAAGCCUCUAAGAAGAUCAUAUUUGACUAACUUGUUCAAUUGUUUCAUUCCAACAUGACCAAGCCUUCUAUGCCAAAACAAACCCAUGCUAGAUUUGGUGAGCAAGCAUGUAACACCCCAGUGUUAUGGUUGCAUUAAUCAUGUGCAUAGCAUGAGCAUCAUCAUCUACUCAAAGCAUACCAUGAUCAUCAUCUAUCUUGAGCCAUUCAUUCUAUGCAAAUAUGUGAUCUAAAUUGCUUAAAUAGGCUUCCUAUGCUUAUGUUUGAGUGAACCAUGCUUGUGUUUGUGCUCUAUGCUUUGGUAAUUAGUUUAUCUAGACUUAACUUAACUUUGGGAACAAUGUUCAUGUUGAUCACUUCUCCAAAUUAUGCCUUUAAGUCAUGCUUGUGCAAAUAGGCUCUAGAAACCUCUUUUCCUUAAGCUUUUAAAAAGUGUUUCAUAAAAUGUUUGCAUGUCAAAACUUUCUACAGAAAAGUUGUAGCAAAUUUUAUAAGGAACAAAAGUUGUUUUAUGGCCAUCUCAUGAAAAUGAUCACAAAUAGCUCAAAAGUGACCCACAAGGCAGAUUUGGCGCUGUUUCCAACACUUAGGAAAUUUUCCAAGUCUUGGAACGAAACCAGUUUGCUCGAUCGAUUUUGGAAACUCUAUAUCUCUCAAUCCCGGCCAAUCUGGCCUUUGCUCUAGUUGACAAAGUUGUAGAACUCGAUUGGAACUCCAACUUUGUCAACUGCAUCAUCUUCUAUCUCGGGCUGGUUUGGGAGUUAUUCGUUGUUGAAGUCGCUCUGUCAGACGGUCUCCGUUUCUCUGAAUCGAAGCCGAGCUCGCCGUCGUGGAUGGCCAGAGCGCCAUCUGUCCGCCAGAUGUCGUCCGUACGCUGGCGAUGGCCCCGCUCGUCAGCUCCCAGCGUGCGCAUGACGUCCACGGCGACGCCCCGAGCAGAGUGGACGCGUCCACUCUCGCUUUCCUCGCCCUCUCGCGCCUGUAAACCGCCCGCAGCGAGCUCACCGUCGCGAGCUCACUCCGGCGAGCUCGUGUGCGCUCGUCGCUGCGUCUCGGUCCACCAAAUUCCACCCACAGCUCCGCCGUGAACUGCUCUCCAUUCUCCACCCACCAUCUCGCCGUGAAAUCCACCGGUGAGCCGCCAUUCCCUUCUUCCCCCAAAUCGGGUCGCCGUGACCAUCUUUUCCGGCGAGCCCAAUGCCGAGCCCUGUGAAGCCUCUCGUCGUCUCUGGUUAGGUCCUAGAGGUUGCUUAGGUUUUUAGCGAGCUUUUGCGCCACUUGGUGGACGCUCUACCGAGCUCUCCGUCGCCGGACACGAUGCGCAGCGCCGCCAUGUUUCCGCCGGAGAUGGGUGCUCUCGUGGCCAGCGUGUUCCACGAGGUUUCAAGCCAAGCCACGUACCUUGGAAGCUCCGCCGUAGUUCGCUGGUGCUGUAGAAGGUCUUAGGUCGCGCUCUACCAGCCUGAGGGCUCCGGCGUAACGCCGAGCACCUCCGCCGAGCCGUCAUCGUCGACGGUGAGCCCCUUCCGGUGGCUCCGCCGUGGGAAAAGUGGGAUCAAUCGAGUCGCUAGAGUCUGGGGAUCACGUUGGUGCCCUUGGAUUGACCGGAGACCUCGCCGUCGCGGAGAAAUCGCCGGCGAUAGUCGCAUCGGCCGUGAGGACGAUGACCCUGACAGGCGGGGUCCACUGUCAGCGUCACCUCCUUCCCUCCUUUUCUUUUAUUCAAAAUCUGGAUUUUUGGCUUUCUUGCAAAAAUCAUAUCUCCUGUUUCUGAGAUCCAAAAAUUGUGAAACCAAUUUUGUGGUAUUCUUUGAGAUGGCUAGUUUUUAAUAAAAAUAUAAAAUGAACCAUGUUUUCUGGGAAAAUAUUUAUUAAGGAUUUAAUCUUGUUAUUCAUGAAUAAAUUCAUAUCUCUGGUUACGCUGUUUAGUUUGCCAUGAAAAUUUUAUAGUAGCCUCUGGGUGGUACUAGAAUGUUAUGAUAAAUAUUUCAUGAUUUUUGGAUUAAUGAAACUUGGAUAUGUAAUUUAUGAUUGAAAUGUGGCUUGUUUCCUUGAUUAAAUUAUAUAAAAUAAUUGGUACUUAUGCUGGUGCUUUACUUUGGUAGUAAACCUGUUUAUGGCAUUCCUCAUGUGUAAAUAAUCUGAAAUCUGUUGUUUGGCAUUAUACAAGUCAUAUUUUCCAAUUUAUGAAAUAAGCACCUAGCUACAUGUUAAAUGCAUAUCUUUAAUUUGGUAUGUGCAAUUGCUCUAAAAUUUUUAUGGUGAUGCUUUGGUGCUAUACUUGUGCCUCUGUAAUUUUUGUAGAUUUUUCUGAGCACCUUGACUAAUAUCUUGUAAUUAUGCUCCUUUCUAGAAUUAAUUACUAAAUGCCUUGUUAAGUAUAUGUUUGAGGGUUAUCAUCUGAUGUUCUGGUAACCUUGUGAUAUGCUUGUGCUCAUAAGUCAUGUGGCUGGCAUUGUUUGUGUUUUGGUUAUGUCAUCAAAUAAUUAAUUAUAGGGUUAAAGGCUGUUCUGGACAGCAAGGGAGAAAUUUAACUUUUGUUUAAUGAUAAUUUGGUUUUCUGAGAAUCUUAUCUAAAUCAAAGUUGUUGUACACUUAUUGAACUAGCUGUGGUUUAAAUUUGGGAUGAUUUGGCGUAGUAGUUUAAAGGUUAUGGCUGUUCCAAGUUAGGUUCCAGAAAUAGGUGCUCUCUGUUUUUCUGGGACAGAACCUGGAACUUUGUUAAAAUGAUUGGUUUAAUGUAUGAAUCUUGCUGUGAUGUUUAAAGAUGAUUUGUAGACAAUUUCAUGAGAUUUCCAGAAUGUCCUCAUUUAUGUUUGUUGGAACUGUCUAUCUUUAGUUAUGAUUUAUUUACUGAGUUGCUACUGUUUUGUGUUGCUUACUGUUUUAGUAUCAUGUUAAGUUUCGGGCUGAGUGACUUGUUAGCUUGUGAGAACUUGUUAUAACUGUGUACUCCAUAAAUGAGUGCCCAGUGAGUCCAUUAUGUUAGCAAGCAUUCAUUCUUGUGUAUGCACGUCUUCUCAUUCACCGAGCAUGCAAUAGGUGCACCGGACGUGGCAGUUUCCUUCGAGCUCCAAGCGAACCCCGAAGGCCAGGAAGGCAGCCAGGAGGCAGAAGAAGAAGUUGAGUGCCCAAGUCACGAGCCAGCCUCGUUCGUGAAAGGCAAGCCCCGGAGCAUUUUAAGCCUCCCUUUACUUUUGAAAGUUUACUUAAUAUGUUAUAUCUAUUGGUGCAUUAAGUAUAGGAGUUGUGAUGAAGCCCUUGCUGCAUUUUUACUCCUUCCUUGUCCAGAUACUUACUACCUGGUUAUAGAGUUAGGAUCGAGUAGCAGCUUAGCUAUGCUUAAACGGUAGAUGUCGGGUGAUUUCCUGUCACCUGCGCGAUAUAGGGUUAUGUCGGAUCACGAUAGUCUAUAUGUGCUAUCGUGGAUGGAACCUGAUUAAAAUGACUUAAGCCAGGCGCACUUUAUAGAUAGUCUAUAAAGUGCGCACUACCGGAGGAAGUGCGGUGUGCGGGGGACCAUUGGCGUAAGCCCAAAGGCAGGUGAGUUAAAAUUCCUGACCUCCCUGGCAGAGUGGUAGCCCUGGGAGUGCAGCGCUGAUCGGAGCCGCGAUUCCUGAGUCGUACCAAAGGUGACCCGUUGGCUCUCCGACGGGGGAUGCUUGGGUGAGUGCUAGGAAUAACCCUCCAGCUGGAUAGGAAUUCGAUUCGAAUCGCCGUCUCUCCUGGUCGGUGAGAACUUGACAGAGCAGCGGCAAAUGUAGCAUUCACUAAUAAACUUGGUUCAUGAUAAUGAUGAUAGCAAGGAAGAACAUAAGAUGAACUUGAUAUGGUUAUUAAUGCUUGUAUUAAUCAAGUGAAGUGCUUUAGUUCAGGUUCUAAUUUAAGUGGUAGGCUGAUGAUAAAUAAAUAAGAUGCUCUCACAAUGAGUCAGUCAUAAUAAAGGCUUUUGGCAAAAUGUCGAGUCGACCAGCUCUACUUUUAUAUCUUAGCCUUGCAUGAUCCUUGGUGUCUUUAUGUUUUACUAGACGGGUAAGUCUAGCUGAGUACAUUCUCGUACUCAGGGUUUAUUCCCACCUGUUGCAGAUGACAUCUUCUAUGACGGUUUCUGCAAGACCUGUCUCCAUCCCGCUGGGGAUGAGGACUAACCGUCGGGCACGGUUCUCUAACAACCCCGUAUCUGAUGCUUUUGGAAGGAUGGUGUAGACUCUGGCAAUAACCAAAAACUUGGGAACUGAACUUUGAACAAGUGUGUGUAAUUAUUUUGCUUCCGCUACUUCGAACUUGGGUUGUAAUAACUUAAUAACUCUGAUGUGGUGCCGCUUCGACGGCAAUGAAUGACUUUGUAACAUUCGCUGUGUUUAUGUUGAACUAUUACGAUCUUGGUUUGUUGCGAGUUGGUUUGAAGUCCUUCGUGAUUUCAAUUGACUACCGGGAUUAUAUGGGCUCAAGUUUGGAAACUUGAUUGCUUGCCGAUCGUUUCUACACUUGAACUCUUAUAAUUUGGUCGGUUCUGUGACAGCUGGCAUCGGAGCAAGUUCAGCAUUAUAAAUGCAGCGUUUGUGUAUUUAAAAACAAAGAGUUUUUCAAUAAAAUGGUGUAAAUCAAUAAUUAAGUUAUGCCAGUGGUCGAAUCCUCCUUGCCCACAUAAGGACUAUAGGUGGCUAUUUAAGUACUAACUUGGGGGGUUUUAUUUAUGCAUCUCCGGCAGUACUCAGGUAUGGAUGUGUGAUGACCGCACUAUGCUACCCUGUGGUCUAAUGGUGGAGGUAGCCUUCAUAUGUGAAAUAGCCACAUAUGUCGCUAGAUUUAAAUUAUGCAACGUCGCACCUACGCCCUGGUAAGUGUGAGCUGUGAGAGCAUGGUCGUCCAAAUGGCGGUCUACGGGAGUGUUCGCGGUGGUUUUCUAGAUUGGUUACAUGUCAAAACCAUGGAACCACGAAAGAAACUUAAUUGGGGAGCAUUUAAUAUCUCGGGUAGCUGUGGUGUCAUUGUUUAUGCAUGUUGGGCAUGUCCAAGCAAUGUGCACUUAGUUUACUGCUUUCUUGAGUGUUAUAUUGGGGACUGUUGGGCUGAAAUGAAGUUUUCUGCAGGUACUCUAACAGCGCACGUGUAAAUCGAUAGUUAUCGUAUCGAGAGACGAAUGUAUGCCACCGUAUAUCCGUUAGAAUAUUAAUUUUCUAAGUUUGUGAGGACGUACGGUUCGUGCAUGCAUCAUGUCGCAUUCAUACAUACAUUCUGUCUACUCCUUCCCUUACAAUGUCGUCCCUUUUAAUUAAAUAAUUGUUGCUUAAACUAAUCCUCUUUUACCCAUGGUAUUCCUAUUCCUUUCCACAGAUGGAUGCACCCGCUUCACCCCGUCCCAGUGACACUUUCUUGAGCGAGUUUGGCACUCCUAUCUUGCUCUGGAGAGUGCUUCAGUCUGUCGGGUAUGCUGAGCCACCUCAGUAUUCCUGGUGGGAGAUGGAGAGCACAGGAGGGAUACAGUGGUUUGCUGUGCAGGGAGUUGUCCCUCCACAUCGGGACAAGCCUGCAUGGACAGGAUGGACUUGUAGCUCAGAUGGGCAGACUCCUUGGGAGGCAGCUCAGGUUGCAGCUCAGACUAUCCUGCUCGAUAUCUGUCAGAGGUGUGGUGAUGAGCUGACGGGAGGACCAGCGGCCUCCAUUCCCCGUGCUGACCCAGUAGCAGCGGAGUGGAAACAGGCUAAUGGGUGUGCUUUGGUUCGAGGCAGGGGAGAGAGAGCUGAGAGUUCUAGUCCUGCUAUGAGUGCUAUGAUGGCUGUGCUCAAGCUGAUUAGUCAGCGAGAGAACACCUAUGCACCAGUGAUGGUGGCUGUUCGCCAGGCUCAGGAGCUGCAACGGAAGGCUGAAAAGCGUGCUCGCAAGUUUCGCAAGCAAGCUAGACUCCUGGAGCAAGCUCAGAAGGACCGCAAUGACUGGGAAGACAUUGCGGAGCACCGUAGGCAGCAGUGGGUGAAGGCCAUUAGAGAGAGAGAUCAUAAGCAGGAUCAGAUGAGCCAAUUAGCUAGAGAGAAGGAGACAGUGCAGGAGCGCUUGGUGCAGAUCACUCGUGAGAGGGAUACUGCACUCCGCGUGUCGGAGAACAGGCGUAGAGCAUAGGAGAUGCACCGAGUUCAGUCUCUUGAGCGGGAGAACUAUCUGCAGGAUCAAAUUGAGGCUGGUCUUGUGGAGAUUCACCGUCUCAACAACUUGCUACACCCUAUUCCUCGCCCUAUACCCGUGUAUCCAGAGGUGGGACCUCAGGUGAUUGUGGCCGAUGAUGAUGGUAUGGAGGUCGAUGGACCAGCAGCGGCUGCACCACCUCUGCACGAGGACGUGGAGGACGAGGAGCUUGAGCCAUUUAGCGACGACGAUGGACAGGCGAUCGUCGACGCUGACUCGGACGACGAGCCUGGAGUGUAGGGAGUAGUGAGUAGUGUGUUGUGAGGAUCUUUUGUAGUAUGCCAGUUAGCAGUGGUGCUUUUGUAACCAUGUUGUAAUCCGGAGCUUUUACCUUGACUCGUGGCAUGUACUGUGAUGGUGUAAUAACUUUAUGGACCCAAUGUGCAAUCUUAACAUGUUUGUUAUGAUAUGACGAUGUUCCCGUUGUGGUGCAUAUGGCGAAUAUCUCUGUCAUGUGUUGGAUUGGUGAUGUUGUUUUAUGGAAUUGAAUUAUUGUGCCUUUUCUGUAAAGUUAUUCUCUCGAAUACUUUUAGGCAUAAAUAUAAGUUCUUCUGCGGCAAAUCUUGUCAUCAUCAAUGCUCACUGACUGUGUCUUUACAGAUGUCUCGUGGCACCCAAGGUGCGGAACAGCGUGCAAACAUGAAUCCACCACCUCCUCCUCCACCACCCAAUCCUGCUGAGUUAAUGCAAAUGAUGGUGGACAAUCAGAGGAUGCUCACUGAGACCAUCAAUCGGAUGGUGAAUCAGGGUGGUCGCAAUGCACAUGAAGGGCCAGCUCCUAACCAGUACAGUAGCUUCAAGGACUUCAUGGAUACAAAGCCCCCACCUUUCAGAGAAGCUGAAGAACCCCUUCAAGCUGAAGAAUGGCUGAACACGGUGGAACAUAAGUUCCGCUUGCUUCGAUUGACUGAAGGUUUGAAGGCAUAGUAUGCAGCUCAUCAACUGCAGGGCCCAGCAGGCAUCUGGUGGAAUCAGUAUCGAGAAGCUCUUCCAGCCGACACUGUGCUUGACUGGAAUCUGUUCUGUGAUGCUUUUAAAGGGCAUUCCAUUUCUCCUGGUGUUAUGGAAAUGAAACAUACUGAGUUCAUGCAGUUAACUCAGGGCAACAAGACCUUGAAGGAGUAUUUGCAUGCUUUCAAUCAUUUGUCGAGGUAUGCUCCUGAGUUUGUGAACCCGGAGACGAAAAAGAUUGCUAGUUUCAAGCGGGGUUUGGGCCCCAAAUUGCUGAAGACUAUGGGCCGCACUAAGUGUGCAACUUUCAAUGAGUUUGUCAGUGAUGCUCUCACUCAAGAGAACUAUAACACUGUGUACACUGCGACCAAGACUCGCAAGAGGGCUUUUGAGGCCGGGGCCGGGUCAUCUCAGUCCAAGGCUCCAGUGGCAGCUAAGCCACCGUUCCGCGCUCCAACCCCCAACCAGCGACACCGCCCUCUGGUGAAGAAGAAUCAGGCGAAGACGGGUUUUCGCAAGGGGUACUCUAUUGCUCUUCCUAGGGGCAACACAGGUCCCAACUAUGCCAAGACUCCACCUGCCAACUGUCCGUGCUAGAACUGCAAUCAGACCGGGCAUUGGCAGAGCAACUGUCCCUACCCGCCAAAGAAGGUCAACUAGGGGAACGUCCGUCAGGGGCGUGUUCACUACACCACUGUAGAAGCAAUCCCUGCUGGUGAGGUAGUUACGACUAGUAAGUUUCUGGUCAAUCAACAUGACGUGCUUGUGCUUUCUGAUUCAGGAGCAUCGCAUUCUUUUGUGAGUUCUGAAUUUGUGUCUAAGCAUAAUAUCAAGGCAAUUACACUUGAUAAGGGCAGUUAUUGUAUUAGUGCUGCGGGAAAUGAUAUUUCCACCAAUCAAGUGGUUUUGGGGGCAACUCUGGAAAUAGGAGUCCGUCAGUUUCUUGCUGAUUUGGUUGUUCUACCCGGUGUGGGCAUAGAUGUAAUUCUGGGGAUGAAGUGGAUGAGUGGCAACAGAGUUCUUAUCGACACCACCACUCGUGUAGUGAUGUUGAAAGACCCGAAUACCAAGGAGGCAUUUGUAGUGCAACUCCCUCGUGAUAUUCAAAUCCGUAGCACUAUAAAUGCAGUUACAUCUAAGGCUAUUCAGGACAUUCCGGUGGUGUGCGAGUUUCUGGACGUGUUUCCUAAUGAUUUACCUGGGCUUCCUCCAGAUCGGGAUGUGGAGUUCAAAAUUGAAUUGAUUCUAGGUACCGCUCCUAUCUCUAGAAGACCUUAUAGAAUGCCACCUAAUGAGUUAGCUGAGCUUAAGACCCAACUCAAUGAGUUGUUGAAGAAAGGACUUAUCCAUCCUAGUUCCUCUCCUUGGGGUUGUCCGGCUAUCUUUGUGAAGAAGAAGGAUCAAUCUUUGCACAUGUGUGUGGACUAUCGUCCCCUAAAUGCAGUGACUAUCAAGAACAAAUACCCUCUUCCUCGCAUUGAUAUUUUGUUUGAUUAGUUGUCUAAAGCUAAGGUAUUUUCCAAGAUUGAUUUACGAUCUGGGUACCAUCAGGUCAAGAUCCGUCCUGAAGAUGUACCUAAGACAGCUUUCUCGAUGAGGUAUGGGCUGUAUGAGUACCUUGUCAUGUCAUUCGGUCUUACGAAUGCACCUGCUCACUUCAUGUAUCUCAUGAAUUCGGUGUUCAUGCCCGAAUUGGACAAGUUUGUGGUGGUCUUCAUUGAUGAUAUCUUGGUAUAUUCCUGCAAUGAAGAGGAGCAUGCAGAGCAUCUGUGUAUAGUGUUGUCGCGUCUGCACGAACAUCAGCUUUAUGCUAAGUUUAGCAAAUGCGAGUUCUGGCUGAAGAAAGUACCUUUCUUGGGCCAUGUCUUAUCUGAAGAAGGUAUAUCGGUGGAUCCGGCUAAGGUGUAAGAAGUGCUGGAUUGGAAAGUUCCAACUUCGGUACACGAGGUUCGGAGUUUUCUUGGUCUGGCUGGAUAUUAUCGUCGAUUCAUUCCCGAAUUCUCAAAGAUAUCUAAGCCUAUGACUCGUCUGCUUCAGAAGGAUGAGAAGUUUGUGUGGACGCCUGAGUGUGAAGAGGCAUUCCACAAGUUGAGGACAUUGCUGACAUCAGCUCCUGUUCUAGCCCAGCCUGAUAUCGAGAAGCCCUUCGAUGUCUUUUGUGACGCGUCAGGCAUUGGUUUAGGCUGCGUGUUGAUGCAGGAAGGUCGCGUUAUCACGUAUGCCUCGCGCCAACUUCGAAAGCAUGAGGUCAAUUACCCUACUCAUGACUUGGAAUUGGCGGCACUUGUUCAUGCUUUGAAAAUCUAGAGGCACUAUUUGCUAGGUAAUCUGUGUAAUAUCUACACCGACCAUAAGAGCCUCAAGUAUAUCUUCACUCAACCUGAACUGAACAUGCGGCAGCGAAGGUGGCUUGAGUUGAUUAAAGAUUAUAAUCUACAAGUGCACUAUCAUCCGGGCAAGGCAAACGUGGUGGCGGACGCCUUGAGUAGGAAAGCGCACUGUCACUCAAUCCAAGUGCAAGAUCCGUUGUUGUUACAUCUUAUGCAUCCACUUGUGCUCAACCAGAUUUCUUUGGAGAGUACUCUUCGCAAUCGAGUCAUCGAAUUGCAGCAAAUAGAUGUAGGCAUCCACCACAUAAAGAGGAAAAUGAAAGAAGAAGAAACCAAGCAUUUCUGAGUCGAUGAGAACGGAAUUCUUUGGUUCAAAGAUCGACUAGUGGUCCCAAAAGACCGCGAGCUGCGAAACCAGAUCUUAUCUGAAGCUCAUUCAUCCAAAUUGUCUAUCCAUCCUGGUAGUAGUAAGAUGUAUCAGGAUCUGAAACCUUUGUUUUGGUGGACAAAGAUGAAAAAGGAGAUCGCUGCUUUUGUCGCUCGUUGUGACAAUUGUUGUGGAGCGAAGGCUGUUCACAUGAAAGCUGGUUUGCUUCAACCCUUGUCAAUUCCUGGUUGGAAAUGGGAAGAAGUCAGCAUGGAUUUCAUCAGUGGACUCCCAACUUCUGUUAAGGGUUACGACUCCAUCUGGGUGAUUGUAGAUCGUUUGACCAAGGUUGCUCGAUUUAUUCCAGUUCAAACUGACUAUCGUCCACAUCAAUAUGCAGAAUUGUAUUUCGAGCACAUUGUUCGUCAAUAUGGUGUGCCUCAAACAAUUAUAUCAGAUCGUGGCCCACAGUUCACUGCUCAUUUUUGGGAAUGUCUGCAUGAGCAAAUUGGUACUCAAUUAGUCCGUAGCUCUGCUUAUCAUCCCCAAACAGCAGGUCAAACUGAACGUGUUAACCAAAUCCUAGAAGACAUGUUGAGGGCAUGUGCUCUCUCUUCAAAAGGUUCUUGGGUUAACUGGUUGCCUUUGGCUGAGUUCUCCUAUAACAAUAGUUAUCAGGAGAGUAUCAAGAUGGCUCCAUUUGAAGCUUUGUACGGUCGAAAAUGUCGAACCCCGUUGAAUUGGGUAGAAGCCGGAGAACGAAGGUAUUAUGGCAUCGAUUUCGUGAACGAAGCAGAGCAGAAAGUCCAUACCAUCCAGUAACAUCUGGAAGCUGCUCAAGCUCGUCAGAAAAGUUAUGCCAACAAAAGAAGGAAGCCAAUUGAGUUUUCAGUUGGUGACCAUGUGUAUAUCAAGGUGUCUCCGAUGAAGGGUGUACAAAGGUUCGGAGUCAAGCGAAAGCUUGCACCUCGUUAUGUAGGACCUUAUCAGAUUCUCGAAAAGAAAGGGAAUGUGGCGUACAAAGUUCAACUCCCUGUUGCGCUUCGAGCUAUUUUCCCUGUCUUCCACGUAUCACAAUUAAAGAAGUGCCUUCGUGUACCGAAGGAACGAGUGGAAGUUCGAGAUAUCAAGUUGAAGUCAGAUCUGGUGUAUGAGGAGAAACCCGUAGCGGUUCUUGAUCGCAAGGAACGGGAGACUCGUAAUCGUGUGGUUAAGUUCUACAAGGUGUUGUGGAGUAACCACGGGGAAGAAGAUGCUACUUGGGAGACGGAGGAUUAUUUAAGAGAAGUUUACAAAACAUUCUUCGAAAAUCAUUAAGCUUUCAAAUCUCGGGACGAGAUUUUUGUAAGGGGGGAGGGCUGUAACACCCCAGUGUUAUGGUUGCAUUAAUCAUGUUCAUAGCAUGAGCAUCAUCAUCUACUCAAAGCAUACCAUGAUCAUCAUCUAUCUUGAGCCAUGUCAUUCUAUGCAAAUAUGUGAUCUAAAUUGCUUAAAUAGGCUUCCUAUGCUUAUGUUUGAGUGAACCAUGCUUGUGUUUGUGCUCUAUGCUUUGGUAAUUAGUUUAUCUAGGCUUAACUUAACUUUGGGAACAAUGUUCAUGUUGAUCACUUCUCCAAAUUAUGCCUUUAAGUCAUGCUUGUGCAAAUAGGCUCUAGAAACCUAUUUUCCUUAGGAUUUUAAAAAGUGUUUCAUAAAAUGUUUGCAUGUCAACACUUUCUACAGCAAAGUUGUAGCAAAUUUUAUAAGGAACAAAAGUUGUUUUAUGGCCAUCUCAUGAAAAUGAACACAAAUAGCUCAAAAGUGACCCACAAGGCAGAUUUGGCGCUGUUUCCAACACUUAGAAAAUUUUCCAAGUCUUGGAACGAAACCAGUUUGCUCGAUCGAUUUUGGAAACUCUAUAUCUCUCAAUCCCGGUCGAUCUGGCCUUUGCUCUAGUUGACAAAGUUGUAGAACUCGAUUGGAACUCCAACUUUGUCAACUGCAUCAUCUUCUAUCUCGGGCAGGUUUGGGAGUUAUUCGUUGCUGAAGUCGCUCUGUCAGUCGGUCUCCGUUUCUCUGAAUCGAAGCCGAGCUCGCCGUCGUGGAUGGCCAGAGCGCCAUCUGUCCACCAGAUGUCAUCUGUACGCCGGCGAUGGCCCCGCUCGUCAGCUCCCAGCGCGCGCAUGAUGUCCACGGCGACGCCCCGAGCAGAGUGGACGCGUCCACUCUCGCUUUCCUCGCCCUCUCGCGCCUGUAAACCGCCCGCAGCGAGCUCACCGUCGUGAGCUCACUCCGGCGAGCUCGUGUGCGCUCGUCGCUGCGUCUCGGUCCACCAAAUUCCACCCACAGCUCCGCCGUGAACUGCUCUCCAUUCUCCACCCACCAUCUCGCCGUGAAAUCCACCGGUGAGCCGCCAUUCCCUUCUUCCCCCAAAUCGGGUCGCCGUGACCAUCUUUUCCGGCGAGCCCAAUGCUGAGCCCUGUGAAGCCUCUCGUCGUCUCUGGUUAGGUCCUAGAGGUUGCUUAGGUUUUUAGCGAGCUUUUGCGCCACUUGGUGGACGCUCUACCGAGCUCUCCGUCGCCGGACACGAUGCGCAGCGCCGCCGUGUUUCCGCCGGAGAUGGGUGCUCUCGUGGCCAGCGUGUUCCACGAGGUUUCAAGCCAAGCCACGUACCUUGGAAGCUCUGCCGUAGUUCGCUGGUUCUGUAGAAGGUCUUAGGUCGCGCUCUACCGGCCUGAGGGCUCCGGCGUAACGCCGAGCACCUCCGCCGAGCCGUCAUCAUCGACGGUGAGCCCCUUCCGGUGGCUCCGCCGUGGGAAAAGUGGGAUCAAUCGAGUCGCUAGAGUCUGGGGAUCACGUUGGUGCCCUUGGUUUGACCGGAGACCUCGCCGUCGCGGAGAAAUCGCCGGCGAUAGUCGCAUCGGUCGUGAGGACGAUGACCCUGACAGGCGGGGUCCACUGUCAGCGUCACCUCCUUCCCUCCUUUUCUUUUAUUCAAAAUCUGGAUUUUUGGCUUUCUUGCAAAAAUCAUAUCUCCUGUUUCUGAGAUCCAAAAAUUGUGAAACCAAUUUUAUGGUGUUCCUUGAGAUGGCUAGUUUUUAAUAAAAAUAUAAAAUGAACCAUGUUUUCUGGGAAAAUAUUUAUUAAGGAUUUAAUCUUGUUAUUCAUGAAUAAAUUCAUAUCUCUGGUUACACUGUUUAGUUUGCCAUGAAAAUUUUAUAGUAGCCUCUGGGUGGUACUAGAAUGUUAUGAUAAAUAUUUCAUGAUUUUUGGAUUAAUGCAACUUGGAUAUGUAAUUUAUGAUUGAAAUGUGGCUUGUUUCCUUGAUUAAAUUAUAUAAAAUAAUUGGUACUUAUGCUGGUGCUUUACUUUGGUAGUAAACCUGUUUAUGGCAUUCCUCAUGUGUAAAUAAUCUGAAAUCUGUUGUUUGGCAUUAUACAAGUCAUGUUUUCCAAUUUAUGAAAUAAGCACCUAGCUAUAUGUUAAAUGCAUAUCUUUAAUUUGGUAUGUGCCAUUGCUCUGAAAUUUUUAUGGUGAUGCUUUGGUGCUAUACUUGUGCCUCUGUAAUUUUUGUAGAUUUUUCUGAGCACCUUGACUAAUAUCUUGUAAUUAUGCUCCUUUCUAGAAUUAAUUACUAAAUGCCUUGUUAAGUAUAUGUUUGAGGGUUAUCAUCUGAUGUUCUGGUAACCUUGUGAUAUGCUUGUGCUCAUAUGCCAUGUGGUUGGCAUGGUUUGUGUUUUGGUUAUGUCAUCAAAUAAUUAAUUAUAGGGUUAAAGGCUGUUCUGGACAGCAAGGGAGCAAUUUAACUUUUGUUUAAUGAUAAUUUGGUUUUCUGAGAAUCUUAUCUAAAUCAAAGUUGUUGUAAACUUAUUGAACUAGCUGUGGUUUAAAUUUGGGAUGAUUUGGCCUAGUAGUUUAAAAGUUAUGGCUGUUCCAAGUUAGGUUCCAGAAAUAGGUGCUCUCUGUUUUUCUAGGACAGAACCUGGAACUUUGUUAAAAUGAUUGGUUUAAUGUAUGAAUCUUGCUAUGAUGUUUAAAGAUGAUUUGUAGACAAUUUCAUGAGAUUUCCAGAAUGUCCUCAUUUAUGUUUGUUGGAACUGUCUAUCUUUAGUUAUGAUUUAUUUACUGAGUUGCUACUGUUUUGUGUUGCUUACUGUUUUAGUAUCAUGUUAAGUUUCGGGCUGAGUGACUUGUUAGCUUGUGAGAACUUGUUAUAACUGUGUACUCCGUAAAUGAGUGCCCAGUGAGUCCAUUAUGUUAGCAAGCAUUCAUUCUUGUGUAUGCACGUCUUCUCAUUCACCGAGCAUGCAAUAGGUGCACCGGACGUGGCAGUUUCCUUCGAGCUCCAAGCGAACCCCGAAGGCUAGGAAGGCAGCCAGGAGGUGGAGGUCCAGCAAGUCGGACCCGAGGAGCCAGAAGAAGAAGUUGAGUGCCCAAGUCACGAGCCAGCCUCGUUCGUGAAAGGCAAGCCCCGGAGCAUUUUAAGCCUCCCUUUACUUUUGAAAGUUUACUUAAUAUGUUAUAUCUACUGGUGCCUUAAGUAUAGGAGUUGUGAUGAAGCCCUUGCUGCAUUUUUACUCCAUCCUUGUCCAGAUACUUACUACCUGGUUAUAGAGUUAGGAUCGAGUAGCAGCUUAGUUAUGCUUAAACGGUAGAAGUCGGGUGAUUUCCUGUCACCUACGCGAUAUAGGGUUAUGUCGGAUCACGAUGGUCUAUAUGUGCUAUCGUGGAUGGAACCUGAUUAAAAUGACUUAAGCCGGGCGGAGUUUGCAAGUUUGUAGUAACUCCGUCUGCGGCAGCUAAGGACCGAUCGUUGUACGUCCUCUUGUCAUGUUGAACGCAUGCCUGACACUUAGUUGGCCGGAUAACUCGUUCCGACUGCAAAGCCGAGUAGUAUGACUCAGGCCGAAAGACCGGCAAGUAUAAAGUGCGCACUACCGGAGGAAGUGUGGUGUGCGGGGGACCAUUGGCGUAAGCCCAAAGGUAGGUGAGUUAAAAUUCCUGACCUACCUGGCAGAGUGGUAGCCCUGGGAGUGCGGCGCUGAUCGGAGCCGCGAUUCCUGAGUCGUACCAAAGGUGACCCGUUGGCUCUCCGACGGGGGAUGCUUGGGUGAGUGCUAGGAAUAACCCUCCAGCUGGAUAGGAAUUCGAUUUGAAUCGCCGUCUCUCCCGGUCAGUGAGAACUUGACACAGCAGCGGCAAACGUAGCAUUCACUAAUGAACUUGGUUCAUGAUAAUGAUGAUAGCAAGGAAGAACAUAAGAUGAACUUGAUAUGGCUAUUAAUGCUUGUAUUAAUCAAGUGAAGUGCUUUAGUUCAGGUGCUAAUUUAAGUGGUAGGCUGAUGAUAAAUAAAUAAGAUGCUCUCACAAUGAGUCAGUCAUAAUAAAGGCUUUUGGCAAAAUGUCGAGUAGACCAGCUCUACUUUUAUAUCUUAGCCUUGCAUGAUCCUUGGUGUCUUUAUGUUUUACUAGACGGGUAAGUCUAGCUGAGUACAUUCUCGUACUCAGGGUUUAUUCCCACCUGUUGCAGAUGACAUCUUCUAUGACGGUUUCUGCAAGACCUGUCUCCAUCCCGCUGGGGAUGAGGACUAACCAUCGGGCACGGUUCUCUAACAACCCCGUAUCUGAUGCUUUUGGAAGGAUGGUGUAGACUCUGGCAAUAACCAAAAACUUGCGAACUGAACUUUGAACAAGUGUGUGUAAUUAUUUUGCUUCCGCUACUUCGAACUUGGGUUGUAAUAACUUAAUAACUCCGAUGUGGUGCCGCUUCGACGGCAAUGAAUGACUUUGUAACAUUCGCUGUGUUUAUGUUGAACUAUUACGAUCUUGGUUUGUUGCGAGUUGGUUUGAAGUCCUUCGUGAUUUCAAUUGACUACCGGGAUUAUAUGGGCUCAAGUUUGGAAACUUGAUUGCUUGCCGAUCGUUUCUACACUUGAACUCUUAUAAUUUGGUCGGUUCUGUGACAAAGCAUGUUGACAAUUGAGCUUCACUAGCAUUGAAAUCAACCAAGUAUAGAUUCUCAUAUCUAAAGCCUUUGAAUAUCAAGUUAGAGCCAUCUACACUUAUGAUCUCUACAUCAUGAACUCCAAAUAUGCAUUUGAAACCAAGAUCACAAAGUUGAGCUACGGAUAGCAAGUUGAAGUUCAAGCUCUCUACUAGUAGCACAUUGGAAAUGCUCAAGUCAUUGGAUAUAGCAAUUUUGCCAAGCCCUUUGACUUUGCCUUUGCCAUUAUCACCAAAUGUGAUACUAUCAACACCAUUGUCAUCAUUUGAUUUGAUUGAAUUGAACAUUCUUGCAUCACCGGUCAUGUGUUGUGUGCACCCACUAUCAAGCACCCAAUGCCUUCCUCCGGCUUUAUAAUUUACCUACAAAACAAAUCAAUGUUUCUUAGGUACCCAUACUUGUUUGGGUCCUUGGAGGUUAGUGACUAAGCUUUUUGGUACCCAAAUGGCCUUCUUCUUUGGACCCACAAUUGAUGUACCAACAAACUUAGCAUGCACACCCUUCUCACCCUUGGUAAGCACAUAACAAGAAUCAAAAGGAAUGUAAGGUACAUUAGCAAUUUUCUUGUUCUUGUUCAUUUUAUUGCAAUUAAGCUCUAGGUGCCCAACUUGCUUGCAUCUAUUGCAAUACCGACCAUUGCUCUUCACAGAGCUAGGCUUGUGAGUUGCAAAGGCUUUCUUGCCCUUCUUGGGGGUAUAGCCUAAUCCCUCUUUGUUGAGAGAAAACCUUUGGCUACCCAAGCAUUUUAGCAAGCGGGCCUCACCACCAUAGGCUUUGCCUAGGGCGUGAGUGAGCUCAUCCACCUCUCUUUUGAGAGUCUCAUUCUCAACCUUUAGUGAAGCAUCACAAGUGAAACUAACACUAGAAGUGGAGGUAGAGUUGGUUGUGGUGGAUGAAGAGCUACAAGAAGAGUUAGUGGCAACAACAAUAGGUGGGUUGGGUGAUUCUUUAAUUAAGUCACAUGUUGUGCCCACAUCACAUGAUACAACAACAUUUUCCUUGUUCUCUUCUAACAACAAGGAGUGAGCUUUCUCAAGCUUGGUGUGAGCCUUGCCAAGCUUCUCAUGGGCUUCAACUAGCCUCUCAUGAUUAGCAUUGAGCUCCUCAAAGGAUUGCUCAAGAGCUUUUAACUUCUUGGCCAAUUCUUUGCACUUCUUGUUUUUAGAUUGAAUAAGAGAAUCGGCUUGUUCUAACAUGUCCAUGAGUUGUUCAUUUGUGAAUUCAUUUUCAUCAUCACUAUCACUAUCAUGUUCAUGUUCACUUUCACUUUCACUCUCAUCAUAUUGUACCUUGUGGCCCUUGGCCAUGAAGCAUGAAGGAGUGUCGAAGAGUGAUGGCUUGUUGAUAGCAAUGCUUUCAAGCGCCUUCUUCUUUGAUGCCUUGUCAUCAUCACUAGAAUCAUCAUUCGAAGAAGCAUCACUAUCCCAUGUCACAACAUAAGAUCCACCCUUCCUCUUCUUCCUCUUGAAGACCAUCUUCUUGUCCUUCUUUUCUUUCUUCUCCUUCUUGUUCUUCUUUUCAUGCUCAUCAUGAUCACUAUUAUAUGGACAAUCCGUCACAAUGUGAUCGGGGCUGUUGCACUUGUAGCAUAGCCUCACAUAUUCCUUGUUCUUGGAGUUGUCCCUUCUCUUUGUUGUAUGGUAGCCCUUCUUCUUCAUCAUUUUGCCAAAUUUGCGGACAAAGAGUGCUAGUGCUUCAUCAUCACUAUCAUCAUUGGAGCACUCCUCAUCACUUGAUUCUUCCUUCUUGCCCUUGCCCUUGUUCUUGCUCUUGGAUGAAGAGCUAGCUUUGAAUGCUACACUCUUCUUCUUCUUGUCAUCAUCAUCCUUUUUCAUGACCUCAUCAUCAUCAUUGUCAUUGUAUUGAUCUUCGGUCAUGACAUCUCCAAGUACCUCAUUGGGAGUUACACCCGUCAAUCCACCUCUAAAGAUGAUUGUUCUUAAUGUCUUGAACCUCUUGGGUAAGCACAUCAAGAACUUGUGAAUGAAGUCCUCAUCUUUCACUUUCUCACCAAGGCCCUUGAGAUCAUUGAUGAUGACUUGGAGCCUAUAGAACAUCUCCGGUAUAGACUCAUCAUCCUUCAUCUUGAAGUUUGAAAGCUUGUCCUUGAGCAUAUACAAUUUGGCACUUUUUACCAUUGUAGUGCCUUCAUAUGUUUCUUCUAGCCUUGUCCACACUUCACUUGCUCUCUCAAGAUCUUUGACUUGUUCAAAUACCUUUGAAUCAAUGCCAUUAUAGAUUGUGUUGAGAGCCAUUGUAUUGCAUUGCUUGUUUGCUCUCUCAUUGUCGGUGGGGUUAGCGGGGUCAAGGAUCACAAAAUCAUUCUCCGUGACUUCCCACACUCUAUCAUUGAUUGAUCCAAGGUACAUCUUCAUUUUUCUCUUCGAAUAGUCAAAAGAGCUUGUGCCAUCAAAGAACGGUGGUUUGCCCCCAACAUGGUUGAACACUAUUUGAGCCAUAAUUUGAGCACCGAGGUUGUUAAGCCUUCACAACUGGUGACCACGGCUCCGAUACCACUUGAAAGGUCCUAAUAUGGCUAGAGGGGGGUGAAUAGCCUAUUUAAAAAUUCUACAAACUCACUAGAGCAAGAGGUUAGUAAAAAAGAAAGCGAAGCUUUUUGCUCUAGCUCUAAAGGGGUGUUUGCAAGCCACCUACCCAACAAUUCUAGUUGCUAAGAACACUAACCACACAAGAACUAAGCUACACAAGGCAAAGAAAGCAACUAAACUAAUUACACUAGUUUACGGUAAGUAAGGAUAAGAUGAGAUAUUUAUACCACCGUGUAGGGGAUGAACCAAUCACCAAUAUAAACAAUCAAGCACCGGGAGAAUGCCAAUCAAACACAAUUGAGACACCGAUUUUUCUCCCGAGGUUCACGUGCUUGCCGGCACGCUACGUCUCCGUUGUGUCGACCAACACUUGGUGGUUCGGUGGCUAAGAGGUGUUGCACGAACCUCGUCCUUACUAGGACACCACAAGAACCUACCCACAAGUGAGGUAGCUCAAUGACACGAGCAAUCCACUAGAGUUACCUUUCGGCUCUCCACCGGGGAAGGUACAAGACCCCUCACAAUCACCGGGAGAUGGCCACGAACAAUCACCAAAUCAUGCCAAUCCUCCUCCGCUGCUCCAAGCCAUCUAGGUGGCGGCAACCACCAAGAGUAACAAGAAAACCGCAGCCAAAACGAUCCCCAAGUGCCACUAGAUGCAAUCACUCAAGCAAAUGCACUUGGAAUCACUCCCAAUCUCACAAAGAUGUUUAAUCUAUGAAGGAGAUGAGCGGGAGGAGUUUGCUUAGGCUCACAAGGAUGUCAAGUAGGUUAGAAUGCCAAGAGAGUGAGCCCCAAGCCGGCCAAACACAUAUUUAAAAGCCCCUCAAACAAAUAGAGCCGUUGGCUCUUCCACUGGGCAAAACUCGGGGUCACCGGAUGCUCUUAAAGGGGCACCGGACGCUCAACACCAGCGUCCGGUGCUCUAAAGUCAGCCACGUGUCGCUAUUUGAAACGCUCGUGUCAGAGUCUAACAGUCACCUGCAGUGCACCAGACGCUAAGCAAGUUGGCACCGGACGCGUCCGGUGCACACCGGACUCAUGCGCAGAGAGUUCUGCAAACUCGCAGGGUCACCGGACGCAAGCCACCGGACGCACCCUCAGCGUCCGGUGCUCACCGGACCCAUGCGCAGAGAGGGUCGCAAAAUGCCCGCACACCGGACGCUAACCACCGGACGCUCAAGCCAGCGUCCGGUGCCUUACCCUAGCUGGGCCAGGCACUGUCUACACCGGACGCUCAGACGCAGCGUCCGGUGCUCCAGAAGCCAGCGUCCGGUGAGUGUUUUCUCAGCAAGAAACACUCCCGCGACUUCUCCAAAUUUCCCACCGGCGCAAUAGAAAAUAUGCACUUCAUUUUCUCAAAAAGCACCGAAUCCCGCCGAGCUUGCGACACCACAACGUGUGCCAACUCCACAACGUGUAAACCAACAUGUGCACAUGUGUUAGCAUUUUCACAAACAUUUUCUUCGAAGGAGUUAAGUUAGCUCACUAGGUUCUAAAUGCAUGCACAAGAACAAUGACACCUAGUGGCACUUGAUAACCGCUUAGCCAAAGAAUUCCCCUCUUUAUAGUACGGCUAUCUAUCCUAAAUGUGAUCACACCCUCUAUGGUGUCUUGAUCACCAAAACCAAAACCCUAAGCAAUACCUUUGCCUUGAACUCCAUAGGGUUUUGUUUUUCUCUUUCUUCUUUUCAAGUUGAGCACUUGAUCAUCUUGUGGUUAUCACCAUCAACACCAUGAUCAUCACUUGCUCCAUCACUUGGCAUGCACCAACCUCAUUAAGUCUACACACACUUAGCAUAGAGGUUAGUACUAGUGUUUCAUCAAUUAUCCAAAACCAAACUAGGGCUUUCAGUUUGCAGAUGAGUUGCCGACGGGGUUGGUGCCGACGGGAGAAUGACGGAAUAUGACUAAGUCCAGGAAGUAGUGACGGGAUCAUGCCGAUGACUAGGACUGAUGGUUGCCGAUGACAGUGGAAGGCGGUCUGCCGAUGGUCAAGGAGAAAGAUGCAGGGGUUGCCGGUUGGCUCAUAACAGUGUACCGAUUGCUUAUGGAGGAUAGUUUAAUAUUUUCCUUAGUUAUUAGAGUUCGUUUUGUAUACGGAUUCUGUUUAAUUUGGAAUUUGAGUUCUAGUCGUGUCUGGUUGUAGUUCUUUGGGUCAAGGUAUAAAUUUUGACCCCGUGGCAAUGUAACGAGACAUCUAUCAAUCAAUCAAACACAAGUUUUUACACAUAUUCUAGCAUCUACUUUUCGACGACUUUGUCAUAUUUUCUUUUUACUACGAGUUCUUAGGAAUUCGUCUAGUCAAACUCGGCGUGUUCUCAAGUUCCGCGUGAACACCUCUUGGCCGUGACAUCCGGGCGCAUCGCUGUUGUUGGGACUAAAGUGUUCGAGUUACCACCUUUGUCGAUUGUAAGGUCAAAUCGGCUGGCACGCCUUAACGUUUGAAUCAGGUAUUAGCCCUUUGUGUUUACAGAUCAGCUUUUGCAUCAACACAUCUUUUGGCAUGCCCAGUGGGACAGAGAUUCAAGAUCAAUAUCAACAUGUCGAACACCAAUUUCGACUUGGAGAACGUUAUUCCCGUGACGGAAGCCAAUCUCAGAGAUGAGCAGAAGCAAGCUAUGGCAAAAGCCAUGGAGGAAUACAAGCAGCUAUGCUUGAAAUCCUUCAGUAUCAACUGGAGUGGCGAGGUAAUCCAGAAGGAAGCAUUGCCGAUGCCUCGGCAAAUCACUUUUGAGGCCAAUCCUGGUAAACUUCAAGACAUGGUUGACAGUGCUAUUAACCGUGCCAUGAUCAAUAAGUGUGGUGUAUUGUCCAACACAGUUUUCAAUGCUAUGGCUAGAACUUUCAAAGAAGGAUAAGUACCACCAUCUUAUGUGGGUCCUGCCUAUGAUCAGCUAGGGUCAUCGGUGGUUACGGCUCCAUCGGCUACUACGGCCGUUGCGGGUGCAGAAGUUAAUUCCCCUCCAAGCACAUUAGGGAUGACUAACACGCAAUCUACACCGAUGACAACUAAUCCAUCUACAUCAGAUGGGCAAAUCAAACUUGCCACAGAUUUAUUGGCAUCGGCGAUGUCAGGGACUAUUCCUCCCAACUGGUGGGGCUAUGGUAUGCCCCUAGAAUUGAUGGCAAAAGGUCCUAGAAUAUCUCAAGUGGCUGACGUGACAGGCAAGGCUCCUAUGGCAUCGGCACCUCCAAAUUCGCCGAUGACUCUGAAUCCCCAGUAUUCUACAACUACUACUGCAAGACCUUUCACUAGGAAUUCUCAAGCACCAACGUUCCACAUGCCUAAUGCAUCAGCAGAUCCAAUGCCGACACAGCAGAGGUUUAUGACACAGCCAGGGUAUGUCAAUUCAACGAUGAUGCCCAAUUACCAGUCAUCGGCAGGACCUACGCCGAUGAAUGCUAAUAGUGGAUGGACAGGGCAGUUUGUCUUUCCACAAGUGCCUCACCAGAAUCAUCAGGCUAUGGGAUUCCAGCAGGGACUAGUGCAACCUGGAUUUCAGAAUCAAGGGUUGAUCAACCAGCCGAUGAAUCUUGGAAGCAAAUUGGUGGUCAGCAGGCAAUGCUUAAUCCAAUGUUUCAUGGAGAUCGUGCACCUCAGAGACACGUGGAAGCUUAUCAGCAGGUGCCAGAUCCACAACCGCCUCAUCGGCAAGAUGCCGAUGCUUAUUGGGCCGAUAAGAUAGCUGAAGUAAUGAGAGACCAAUUUGGGAUAAAACCCAAAGUUACUCUUAUCGGACGCUGUAUCCUCCUGCAUAUGAUUUAAUUCCACUUCCAAAUCGGUACAAGGUACCAGAUUUCACCAAGUUUUCUGGACAGGAUGACGCAUCAACUAUGGAGCAUGUCAAUAGGUUCAUCAUCCAGUGUGGAGAAGCUGCUAAUAGAGAUGAGUUAAGGGUUCGCUUGUUCUAAUCAUCCUUGUCUGGAUCGGCCUUUACUUGGUUUAUUGCAUUACCUCCUAAUUCAGUGAUCACUUGGGCCGAUCUAGAGAAGCAAUUCCAUAAAUACUUCUUUUUUGGAGUUCAUGAGAAGAAGAUUACCGAUUUAGUCAGGCUGAAGCAACUCAAUGAUGAAUCGGUUGAGAGUUUUGUGCAAAGAUUGUGAGAGGUUAAGAAUAAGUGCUAUAGUCUAGUUCUGGAUGAUCGGCAGCUAGCCGAUUUGGCUUUCCAGGGAUUAUUGCCGCAUAUCAGAGACAAGUAUGCUUCACAGGAGUUCGAGAGUCUGAGUCAUUUGGUGAAGAGGAUCUCAGACCAAGAUAUCAAGACCUUCGAACUGAAGAGGGCAUGGAACAAAAACGUGGCAUUUGUCGAUGAAGCGACAAGCUCAGACUCUGAUGAAGAACUAGUCACCGGCUUGGCAGAGUGGGUAAAAAACAAGAAGUCAUUGUCUUGCCCUUUUGGGCAUAAAGAGCUAGAGAAGUUUGCAUUCGACAUCACCAAAGCCGAUAGGAUAUUUGACUUUCUACUUCAGGAAGGGCAAAUCAAGUUGUCACCCAAUCAUGUGAUUCCAUCGGCUGAAGAAUUAAAGAAGAUGAAAUACUGCAAGUGGCAUAAUGCAACAUCUCACAACACAAAUGAGUGUAAGGUUUUCGGGCAACUGCUGCAAUCGGCUAUAGAAUCUGGGAGAAUUAAGUUUGAUAAUUCCAAAGCUCAGAAGCCGAUGAAGAUUGAUCAACAUCCUUUCCCUACAAAUAUGUUGGACGCUAAGGGAAAAACCAAGGUCUUGAUGUCAGAGGCAGGUGGAAGAAGCGCAUCAGUGGAUCCUCAACAUCACAUUACUGCCGAUGACGCUAAAGGCAAGGGUCUGAUUCAGGAAGGAACCAGUUCAGGAAGGCCUCCCAGAUCUGGCAUUGUGAUAACUCAUAGAAGGCAUCGGGGGACCUGGCAGCAACGUGAAGAUCGGUAUCAGCGCCAACAGGAGGAUCGUCCUCGAGAAGAAGAAAGACGCCGACAAGAGUGGAAUCGGCAUAAAGAUCACUGGAACUGUCCGUUCUUUAUCCAUUGUUGGGAACAAAACAUUAAACUGCCCACUGUUAGAGAUUGCCCUGAGUGCAAUGGUUAUGAUCGGUAUGAUAGACCUAAUCGGCAGUAUCAGAACGAUGAUCGGCGAUUUAAUGGGCCGAUUAGGGGGAGAGCUUCAGUUCAUUAUCGGCUGGGGGGCAGGCUCAGUGUGCAUGACAGGCUUGGUGUGGCAGAACCCCCUAAGUGUUUGGGCCCACCGGCACCUGUCAUUGUCCUAAGGACCUCUGACGGCGAUGCCGGGGAUCCUCCCACUUUAGAAGUCCGAUGAGCAUUGCUGGAUGCUCAUCCCACUGCUACCUGUGGCGUGCCAAGCCGGCUCGUCCUGACCACUGGUGAUGGUCAAUUAACGAGAACUUCUUCUUCUCGCCCUUACAGGAUAGCAAGUGGCCACCUUAACACCAGGAUCAUUCGUUGCGAAGACAUUGCAGAACCACAAACGGCAUACGACCAAAAUAAUAUUUCAGAGUAAAACAGCGGAAGUAUUACAUAACUUAUUUUACAAAAGGAGUUCUUCCAAGUAGCAGAGUGUUAUUACAAACCAGGUCUAGCGGAGCAACUUAAACUUUAGUACCGAGAUUACAAAUUUACAGACCCUGCCCAUGGGUCACGCUCACUCUUCUUCGUCGUCAACCUCGGCGACAGUCACACAACAGGGUCCGAAACAAGUCGGCUCCUGAGAAUCACCUGCAACAGGGGGUUGGAAAACCCUGAGUACGGGAGUACUCAACAAGACUUACCCGGUGGAAAAAGAGGAGAACUUAGGAAUGCAGGCUUAGGGUAAACAAGGAGUGGCUGAGCAAGGAGCCAAAGUGCUUUGCUAAAAAGCUUACUAAUAGUGCAUCCUUACUUUCAAGUUUUACCUGCGAAUUCCUCUCCCGUCGAGGCUGAGGAGUUCGAGGACAGUCUACCUAGUUGUUUCCCCACAGACGAGUCUGUGAGUUUCUAGUCCUAAAAUAAAGUAUCAUUUAUUCGAUGGCCAUAGCUUCAUGUCGCUAUGAGUCCGGGAAUUGGGAUCCGAACCUCAUGAGACAUUUCCCCUUUCUCAUUUUACCAAUUAGUUGCAUAAUUACUACGAUGAGGGGCAGUGGAUUGAGUCUCCCAAUCGGGCUGGAGUUCCUAACCACCCGACAUAUGUAGAACCAAAACUUGCAUAUGUCAACCCAACUCAAGCUCUCCCCAAAUUUGACCAGGUUCGCGGCACCCGAGAGCACAGUACUCCACCGUCCUACAGCCGAUCUAGAUGUUUUCCGGCCAUCCCAGAUCCGUAAGGUGGGUACACACUACUCUCGCCAUCUUUCCACUCCCAGUGCGCGAGUAGCUGGUCGCGUCGGGGGAUCACAAGACCGGGCUUACCGAGGGCAAGUGGCUAGUACUAUAAAUUCUCAACCCAGCGGGCCAUCAACGGACCGGUCCUUAACUCACACAGUUGGAGACACUACUUUAAGACUCCAUUCUUAAAGCAAGUCCACCGACCGGUCUCAGAUUAAAACAUCAUUGAUCAUAAAUGUAUUCCACAACAACCCUUCAAACUUUCUUAUUUGAAAACCUAUCUAGUAGCAGGGCUAAGCAUCACUACACAGUUUUAAAAUGAACAGGUGUCAAGGACAGGAUAACAGAUAUCAAGGUAGUAAAUGCAGCAAGUAGGUUAACCCAAUUCUCAACUAACUAAUGCAGCAUUUUCAAUUCAUAAGUGAUAAAAGAUUUAAAACAUUCAAGGAGGGGUUAAUGCAUCCGGGGCUUGCCUUGGUUGCAGGGCAGAGAGGGACCCUCGGAGACUUCCCAAGUCUCGGAUCCGACUUCCUCGAACGGAGCACCGACCUCGGGGUUUGGUUCAACGGGCGCUCCUUCGGUCACGGAUACUAUACGCAAAAUGAUGAAUGCUCAUGAUAUGCGUAUGACAAUUAUGCAAGAAGGAUUAAGUCGAGUACAACUUGCCUUCUUGGUGCAAUACAGAAUAAACCACAAAUAAAAUUGUUUUUACCCAAGAGGUUGCAUUUAUAACCUAAGACUUCUUUUAAUUUGUAAUUAUCUUAAAUUAACUAAUAAUUAAUCCUUUUAUCUUAAUUAAUUCUUAAUUAAUUACUAAUGAUAGCAAUUAAGCAUUAAGGCCAAACAAUAAUUAAAUGCCAAGGGUAGCGAGCCACAUCCCCUCAGUUUGACUUUUUGUGAAAUCCACUCAAAAUUUGAACUGAGCACAAAAUUCAACCAAAACAAAAGUUGUGCACAAUUUUGUGAGCUACAAAACAUGUUUUGGUGACCCAAGCCAAUUUUGAGUGGAACAAGGUUAAUUUGGCCAACCAGUUUGAAAAUCAAAACUCAAUUCAAAUGAAUUCAAAUUUUUUGAAUUGGGCCAAAUCAGAAUUUCCAAAAUUACUUUUGUUUUUCCUAAACAACUUGAAAAACUCCCAACAUGAAAGUUGUCCAACAUUUUGUGCUCCACAACUUUCGUGUUGACCAAUUUUCAAAAUUCCAAAUGGAUUUUGAAUUGGAGGUUCAAAUUGGAAAAGGGGACAUUUUCUGGAAAUCUGUAUUUUCAAAAUUACUUUGAAUUUUGUAUUGAAACUUCAAAAACUCAAAACACCAAAGUUGUACAUCUUGACAAGAUCUACAACUUUGCCUUUGAACUCAACCUCAAAUUUUGCUUAGUUUUCAAGUUGUGCAAAAGGGGGCAAAUCUAGGGUUCCAAAAAUCAGGGUCCCCCCCUUAGCUUUUCGGAAAACUUCCACCGUAGGGUUUUAGCAACCACACAAGCAUCAACACACAACAUAAGCACAUUCUACUUCCCUAAGCACAAGCAAUCAAAAUAAACUUGUUUUAAGUUGAUGCAUAAUAAUGUGCUUAACAAACAUGCUUUGCAAUGCAUGUGAUGACAUGAUCCGUUUUUAGUAACCGUAACAUCGGGGAUGUUACAGCCUUUCCCCCUUAAAGAAAUCUCGUCCCCAAGAUUUAAAACCUUAGGGUAAGUAAUGGAAAAGGAAAUUUGUCAAAACUCUGUCAUCUUCAAUUUUCCCAUAAAGCAAGAAGCUGGGGAAGAUUACUCAACUAUAAACCUAUGUGUACACAAAGUACAUGGCUUUGGCUACUCUUUUUCUCCACUAGAGUACACUUCUUACAUAUCAGUUGUUGUCCUGAAGAGAAGCGUGGAACUCAGGGAAAUUCUCCAUCAGGUAAUCUUCAGAUUCCCACGUGGCUUCUUCUUCAGAGUGCUGGCUCCACUGUAUCUUGUACCACUUGGUAGUUGUUCUUCGAGUAACUCUAUUUCUUUGAUCCAGUACUUGGAUAGGAUAUUCCGAAUAGGUUAGAUCUGGUUCAAGUUCUACAUCUUCGAUAUCUUGAACUUGGUCUGGUACCCGAAGACACUUAUUUAGUUGAGACACAUGGAACACAUUAUGUACCCCGGAGAAUCGUUCGGGCAGUUUAAGGCGGUAAGCUACCUGUCCACAUCGGUCAAUAAUUGGAAAUGGACCAAUGUAACGGGGCGCUAACUUGCCUUUAACACCAAAACGAUUUACUCCUUUCAUUGGGGAUACUUUCAAAUACACAUGAUCACCUUUGGCGAACUUUAACGGUCGACGCCUUUUAUCGGCAUAACUCUUCUGUCGGGACUGAGCAACCUUCAAGUUAUUUUGGAUUUGUCGUACUUUGUUCUCAGUCUCUUUCACUAAGUCAACCCCGAAGAACCAUCUUUCUCCGGGUUCCGACCAGUGUAGCGGAGUUCGACAUCGACGGCCAUAUAGUGCCUCAAAGGGAGCCAUCUUGAUGCUCUCUUGGUAGCUAUUGUUGUAAGAAAACUCUGCCAGAGGCAAACAGUAAUCCCACUUAUCUGGAAAAUUCAGGGCACAAGAUCUUAAUAGAUCUUCUAGAGUUUGAUUCACCCUUUCAGUCUGCCCACCAGUUUGAGGGUGGUAGGCUGUGCUGUACAAAAGUUUAGUGCCCAAGGACUCGUGUAAACAUUUCCAGAAUUGGGAGACAAAUUGUGUGCCUCGAUCCGACACUAUCGUCUUUGGCACCCCAUGCAGACUUAGGAUACGAUCAAAAUAGACCUGAGCAUAGGUGGAAGUAUGAUACGAUUUCUUUACAGGUAAAAAGUGUGCUGUUUUGGUGAGACGAUCUACGAAGACCCAAAUUGAAUCAAAGCCUUUGGCUGUCUUGGGCAACCCCACUAUGAAAUCCAUACUAAUAUCAUCCCAUUUCCAUGCGGGGAUAGGCAAAGGUUGCAACUCCCCAGCGGACUUGAGAUGAAUAGCUUUGACCUUUCGACAGGUGUCACAUUGGGCCACAUAGCGAGCUAUCUCUAUCUUCAUUUUUGUCCACCAAAACCUUUGCUUUAAAUCCUGAUACAUCUUAUUGCUUCCCGGAUGAAUAGAAUACCUCGUGGUAUGAGCUUCCUCCAGGAUUCGUUGACGUAGCUCACGUACCUUUGGAACCACUAACCGGUUCUUGAACCAGAUUACUCCCGCAUCAUCCACCUUAAAGUCUGUGGGUGCUCUAUUAGAAAUCUUCUCUUUAAGAUGUUUCAUGCCUUUGUCUACUUUUUGUGCCUCUAUGAUUUGAGCUUCGAGAUUGAAAUCAAUCUUUAGAUUGGCAAGGCUUCCCUGGGAAAUCAUUUCUAUCCCCAAGUUCUCUAGCUCUUGGCACAAAGUUAUAUCCCUAGGCGUCACUGUUAAGCAAUUACAGUGACCCUUACGACUGAGGGCAUCAGCUACUACAUUUGCCUUACCAGGGUGAUAAUGCACCUCAAGGUCGUAAUCUUUAAUUAAUUCUAGCCACCUUCGCUGGCGCAUAUUAAGCUCAGCUUGAGUAAAGAUAUACUUCAAGCUUUUGUGAUCGGUGUAUAGAUGACAUGUGUUCCCCAACAGAUAAUGACGCCAGAUCUUUAAUGCAUGUACCACGGAGGCUAGUUCUAGAUCAUGGGUCGGGUAAUUCUCUUCAUGUGGUUUGAGCUGUCUGGAAGCAUAGGCAAUUACACGACCUUCCUGCAUUAGCACGCAGCCUAUCCCUAUCCCUGAUGCGUCACAAUACACAUCAAAGUGUUUUUCAAUGUCUGGCUGGGCUAAGACAGGUGCAGUUGUCAAUAAUCUUUUCAGAGUCUGAAAGGCUUGCUCACAUUGAGGUGACCAAACAAAUUUUGUUUGAUUUUUGAGCAAGGUCGUGAUUGGUUUGGCGACUCUUGAAAAGUCCGGGAUAAAACGACGGUAAUAUCCCGCCAUACCUAGAAAACUACGGACCUCAUGUACCGUAGUCGGGGGUUUCCAAUUCAACACAUCUUCUACCUUGCCUGGGUCUACAGCGACUCCCUCCGCUGAUAACACGUGACCCAGGAAAUGGACUUUGUCCAGCCAGAACUCACAUUUGCUGAACUUGGCAUAUAGUUGAUGCUCCCUAAGACGGGUUAGCACGAUUCGCAAAUGUUCAGCAUGUUCUUUCUUAGUCUUGGAAUAGAUUAAGAUGUCAUCAAUAAAGACGACCACAAAUUUGUCUAGUUCUGGCACGAAGACAGAGUUCAUCAGGUACAUGAAAUGGGCCGGUUCAUUGGUCAACCCAACGGACAUCACCAAGUAUUCAUACAGCCCGUAACGGGUUGUAAAAGCUGUCUUGGGCACAUCCUCCGGCCUAAUUUUAAUUUGGUGGUACCCUGAUCUCAAAUCAAUUUUUGGAGCAAAACCACUUUUUUAGGGCCCCCCCCGGGGGCCCCAUAGCUUUGGCUCGAAUUUUAGUAAGUUUCAAUAACGUGGCGGCCAAAUUGGGGUAACUUUGGUUCCCUUAAUCGUCACCUCAUUUAGGGGACGAUAGUCGACACACAGCCUUAAUGUUUGAUCUUUCUUUUUCACAAACAAGGCUGGGCAACCCCAUGGAGAAGAACUGGGCUGAAUAAAACCUUUCUGCAACAGCUCUUGUAAUUGGGUUUUUAAUUCGGCCAGCUCUUUCGGUGCCAUUCUGUAGGCCCUUCGAGAUAUUGGGGCUGUCCCUGGUUUCAAUUCUAUACUGAAUUGUACAUCCCGGUCCGGAGGCAGACCUGGUAGGUCUUCAGGAAAUACAUCCGGGAAAUCCUGAACUACCGGGAUUUCUUUAACUUCCGAUACAUUAGUGGCAUGAACUUGCCCAAUUGUCCGCUUGGGAGUGGCUAACUGGAUUAGGAGAUAAGAUUUCUCACUGGGCAACGGGAUUUUAAUGGUUCGAUGCAAAGUAUCUAGCACAACCCCUCGUUGUGCCAUCCAGUUCAUGCCUAGUAUGACAUCAAUCUCCUGGUCUUUAAGAACAAUCAUACUAGUGGGAAAAUUAUGCCCACCAAAUUCGAUGGGUAUCUGGUGAACCAUUUCUUUAGAACUCAGUCGUCCUCCUGGCGACUGUAUAUAAAAAUGAUCUUGUGUUUCCCCAAUGGGUAUGCCAUGCUUUAACACAAAGGUGCGAUUGAUGAAUGUAUGAGAUGCACCAGAAUCGAAAAGCAUUAAAGCACGAUGUUUCGCGACAGGGAACGUACCCAUCAUUACUGGGUCACCCUCCGGGAUCGUCUCCACCUCCGUAUGGAAGACUUGUCCCACUUUCUUCGCUGGUUUUCCCCUUAGCACAGGUUGUCCUUUCUGAUCCCAGUCGUGAAUUGACCCGGCUGGGGUUGACCCAUAGGUGGCCUUUGGAAGGUAGGGUUGGUUUGGCGGGGGAAAGGGCACUCUUUAGAGAAAUGCCCAGGCUUACCACAAUUGAAACAAGGGUAAUUGUGGCUGGGCGGAGCAGUGGGGCGAACACCUGGGGCAUUCGGCUGGCGUGGUGCAAGAGCGAUGGCAGUAGGUCGAGGGUAUACCUGCUGCCCUGGUCUAUACUAUGGAGGGGAGAAAGGACCACGAUAAGGUGACGGCGCUUGUAAACGUCCGUGGCCCUGCGGAUGAUAAAUGAUUCUCUGGCGCUUUUGGCCGCGACCAGAGAAGGAGGAAGAAGCAGCCUUCUUCUUGGCUUCUUUAUGCUUUCUAAUCUUUUCCUCGGAGGCGAUGGCAAUAUUUACCGCCUCAUAGAAGGUAGCAUUUUGGCAGGUGGUCAUCAUGGUCUGAAGUUUAGUAUUUAGACCACGCAUGAAGCAAGCUUUCUUUUUUCUGUCAGUGUUCACAUGGUCUGUGUCAUAUUGAGAGAGAUGAUUAAACUUUGCCACGUAUUCCAUGACACUUUUGUCGCCCUGCUGCAAGGCGAGAAACUCUUCGGCCUUCAUGGCCAUGAGCCCUUCAGGAAUAUAAUGGGCGCGGAACGCGUCCUUGAACUCGGUCCAGGUGACCUGGUGUCCCGGAGCUUGGAUAGCUAGGAAGUUCUCCCACCAGGCACCUGCAGCUCCCCGAAGCUGCUAAGCUGCAAACAGGGGCUUCUGAGUUUCUGAACACUGAAUCAAACUGAACUUGUGCUCCAUGGUCCGGAGCCAGUCAUCUGCUUCUAAAGGCUCAUCGGCCUUAGUGAAAACCGGGGGCCUUAUCUCGGUAAAGUCCACGUACCGAGCUUCUCCGUCCCCAUUGUGUUGUGCCCUGAAGUUUGGGGCAGGGUGUGGUUGACGUUGUGCUAGCUCGCGCAGUAAGCGAGCGUUGUCGGUAGUGGCAUUCAACAAAACAGCAAUGGCCUCGGCCAGAGAAGGUGGAGCAGGUGGAGGGUUGGGGAUAUCAUCCCCUCCCUGAGAUGUCCCAGCUCCAUCAGAUCCGCGUGUACGCAUCGGCAUCUGCUACAAGAAUCAUAGGUACUUGUCAUCACAUGAACUUCAUAACGUAGAACAUAUCUUACAUUCUUCCAUUUAUUCAUUAAACAUUAAUUCAACACACCAGGAACAAACAAGUACAACUUCUCAAACCGAAAGAAAACUUAUAUUACAAACCCGACCCCACUACGGCAAGCUAGGACUCCUACAACGACGUUGCCCGCGGUUCCACCGAACUAAUCGGUGUGGCCAGAGCUAUAGCCCGGGUCGUCAUUGCCAUCAUCCUGAUUACCCCCUGGGUUGUUGUCAUCAGGGUCGGACUCCUCUUCAUCACUGAGGCCUGGAUCAGGUUCCCCAUCGUCUGCCAACUCGCCAUCCGUAUCCAUCUCUCCUUCGCCUGGAGGUGGGUGGAGCUGAUGAUACAGGUCAAAUGCAAUAUCACGAUAUUGCAUUGCCAAGUCAUUGACGGUAUCUAAGUGAUGUGCUAGCUCCAGCUUUUCCAACUGGAGCUGGUCCUCACGCUGCCACGCGACAGCCCGCUGCGCGGUGACCGUGGCCGCCAUCUUCACGUACAAAUCCUUAAGAUACCUGGCCUUGCCCAGCUUCGCAUUCAUGCUAGUCAGCUCAUGCCUGUGUGUGCUCCUAGCUUCUUCCUCUCGGGCAAUGGCGGCAUUCCUCUCCUCCACCAUACGGGACAACAUGGCCUCACAGUUCUCCGUAGCUUGUUUUUCUUUGGCUAGUUGAGCUUUGAGUUUGCCGAUCUCCAUAACAUUGUACAUUCUUUCUCUCAUCACCUCAGUCAACUCGGCGGACAACCUGUCCACCUCCUGCUGAGGCGGUGAACGGCUACUACUGGCUUGAUCGCUGCGCGAAGCCAGCUGAUGUCGGGGAACUCCUUUUGGACCUGUCCUCUUACGCGGGGUCUGCUUCUGACGAGCCAUCCUGUGGAGGGUAAGUUUAGAUUAGUAAGAGAGACCUUAAAGGUUAGCAAGAAUGGGAUUGAUUCUAUUCACCUAACCCAACAAGUAGGAAGGAACUUAACCAGUUAAUACAUCAUGAUGCAUGCACGAACUUACGAUUCCUACCUACGAUUCGCAACGAUAUUACUUUAAAUUUUUACAACAUAGGGCAAUACUCUAUGUUGCUCCUCCAAACCACUUCAAAAAAAUUCUAAGGAAGCCUAUAGACAGGGUAAGUUAGGACUAAGCACUUGGACUCAAAGUAGACCAGUUUAUAGUAUUGGAUCCAAAGGAAUUUUGAAGUUUUUCAAGAGGCUCAGCAGUCAUCUUAGCAACGAAUGCUCUGAUACCAGCUGUGGCAGAACCACCUAAGUGUUUGGGCCCACCGGCACCUGUCAUUGUCCUAAGGACCUCUGACGGCGAUGCCGGGGAUCCUCCCACUUUAGAAGUCCGAUGAGCAUCGCUGGAUGCUCAUCCCACUGCUACCUGUGGCGUGCCAAGCCGGCUCGUCCUGACCACUGGUGAUGGUCAAUUAACGAGAACUUCUUCUUCUCGUCCUUACAGGAUAGCAAGUGGCCACCUUAACACCAGGAUCAUUCGUUGCGAAGACAUUGCAGAACCACAAACGGCAUACGACCAAAAUAAUAUUUCAGAGUAAAACAGCGGAAGUAUUACAUAACUUAUUUUACAAAAGGAGUUCUUCCAAGUAGCAGAGUGUUAUUACAAACCAGGUCUAGCGGAGCAACUUAAACUUUAGUACCGAGAUUACAAAUUUACAGACCCUGCCCAUGGGUCACGCUCACUCUUCUUCGUCGUCAACCUCGGCGACAGUCACACAACAGGGUCCGAAACAAGUCGGCUCCUGAGAAUCACCUGCAACAGGGGGUUGGAAAACCCUGAGUACGGGAGUACUCAACAAGACUUACCCGGUGGAAAAAGAGGAGAACUUAGGAAUGCAGGCUUAGGGUAAACAAGGAGUGGCUGAGCAAGGAGCCAAAGUGCUUUGCUAAAAAGCUUACUAAUAGUGCAUCCUUACUUUCAAGUUUUACCUGCGAAUUCCUCUCCCGUCGAGGCCGAGGAGUUCGAGGACAGUCUACCUAGUUGUUUCCCCACAGACGAGUCUGUGAGUUUCUAGUCCUAAAAUAAAGUAUCAUUUAUUCGAUGGCCAUAGCUUCAUGUCGCUAUGAGUCCGGGAAUUGGGAUCCGAACCUCAUGAGACAUUUCCCCUUUCUCAUUUUACCAAUUAGUUGCAUAAUUAACUACGAUGAGGGGCAGUGGAUUGAGUCUCCCAAUCGGGGAGCAACGACGAUUCGAACCGCUUAGCAAUCCAGCUGGAGUUCCUAACCACCCGACAUAUGUAGAACCAAAACUUGCAUAUGUCAACCCAACUCAAGCUCUCCCCAAAUUUGACCAGGUUCGCGGCACCCGAGAGCACAGUACUCCACCGUCCUACAGCCGAUCUAGAUGUUUUCCGGCCAUCCCAGAUCCGUAAGGUGGGUACACACUACUCUCGCCAUCUUUCCACUCCCAGUGCGCGAGUAGCUGUUCACGUCGGGGGAUCACAAGACCGGGCUUACCGAGGGCAAGUGGCUAGUACUAUAAAUUCUCAACCCAGCGGGCCAUCAACGGACCGGUCCUUAACCGACACAGUUGGAGACACUACUUUAAGACUCCAUUCUUAAAGCAAGUCCACCGACCGGUCUCAGAUUAAAACAUCAUUGAUCAUAAAUGUAUUCCACAACAACCCUUCAAACUUUCUUAUUUGAAAACCUAUCUAGUAGCAGGGCUAAGCAUCACUACGUAGUUUUAAAAUGAACAGGUGUCAAGGACAGGAUAACAGAUAUCAAGGUAGUAAAUGCAGCAAGUAGGUUAACCCAAUUCUCAACUAACUAAUGCAGCAUUUUCAAUUCGUAAGUGAUAAAAGAUUUAAAACAUUCAAGGAGGGGUUAAUGCAUCCGGGGCUUGCCUUGGUUGCAGGGCAGAGAGGGACCCUCGGAGACUUCCCAAGUCUCGGAUCCGACUUCCUCGAACGGAGCACCGACCUCGGGGUUUGGUUCAACGGGCGCUCCUUCGGUCACGAAUACUAUACGCAAAAUGAUGAAUGCUCAUGAUAUGCGUAUGACAAUUAUGCAAGAAGGAUCAAGUCGAGUACAACUUGCCUUCUUGGUGCAAUACAGAAUAAACCACAAAUAAAAUUGUUUUUACCCAAGAGGUUGCAUUUAUAACCUAAGACUUCUUUUAAUUUGUAAUUAUCUUAAAUUAACUAAUAAUUAAUCCUUUUAUCUUAAUUAAUUCUUAAUUAAUUACUAAUGACAGCAAUUAAGCAUUAAGGCCAAACAAUAAUUAAAUGCCAAGGGUCAUUAGGGUUAAUGACCUCAGGUCAUCACAUAAUCCCAAAAUCACUCAAACCCUAAUGAUGAAGAUUUCACUAAUUAUUGUUUAAUUAUUUUGGAAUUAUUACUUAAGUACUAAAUAAGGGUUUAUUAAUAUUUUAAUCAAACAUUAUCCAAAUGCCACCAAAUUUUGUGUGGAGCCAGGAAAUAAUAUUCAGAGGCUCCCCACAAUUUUUGGUGAUUUUUGGACAUCCUAAUAAAUUACUAAAAUUCCUAGAAGUUUUAUUCACUAAUUAAAGAGCCAAUUUUUAUAGACAUGCAAACUACCAGAAAAACAAUACAUAGUAUUUUUCUUAUGCUCUAAACAUUUUAUGGAAGCUAUACAAAAAUUCUCAUGAUUUUUGGAUCAGCACAGAAUUUACUAUUUGAAUUCAAACAUCAAACACUUUUAAACAAAGAGGAAAAAGAAAAAGGGCACUGUGCGCUGGGGCAAGCUUGGACGCGGCCCACUCUGGCCCGAGCGCUUCCCGCGCCCAGCGCCCUCUCCCUCUCUCUCUCACGCGGUCGCUGACGGGCGGGUCCCGCCCGUCAGCUCCAUCUCCUUCCUAGCGCCGCGGCUCCGGCGAGCUCCAGCAUGCCGUCGGCGAGCUCUCGGCCUCCGCGGUGAGACGCGUUAGCUUCCUCAACCUCCCGCACACCAAGGGACACCCUUUUCUCCCACUCUCCUCUAUCCUAACCCCCGUGACCACGGGCACGGCGGACGGCCGCCUCGGCCGAGCAAACGCCGGCCACUACGAGCGAGUAGAGCGUGACUUGAGCAGCGCAAAAGCACCAGGGGCUCACCACGACUUCAACCGAGCAAGAAGCGGCAGCGGAGAGGCUCCGGUUGACGCUGGCCACGGUGACGUGCUCGCGGCGGCGCUCGGCCGGAGUUGAGGAGGGAAACGGCUCGGGUAGGAGCUACGGUAGGAUAGAGCGUGUGUUUGGGGGUGCAAUCAGUGGCGGGGCUUAAGGCGGAGCUGCUGGGGUGCUCAAAUGGCUUGGAACGGCAACGGGGAAGACGAAUUUUGGCGGCGGGUGGUGGUGGUCGGCGGUGAGGUUCAAAGAGAGGAAAAGAAAACUCCGGCCACCCGAGGCUUUAUCCAAGCGGCGGAACAGGGGAUAUGGAUGAGGCCAUCCGCGCGAAGCACAGCAGCAAGCAGCUGCGUGGCCAGCUGCGUGGCGGCGUGCGCGGAGGCGGCUCUGCCCCGGCGGCAGAGCACCCCCCCUGCCGAACACUGUAGCGAGCCACAUCCCCUCAGUUUGACUUUUUGUGAAAUCCACUCAAAAUUUGAACUGAGCACAAAAUUCAACCAAAACAAAAGUUGUGCACAAUUUUGUGAGCUACAAAACAUGUUUUGGUGACCCAAGCCAAUUUUGAGUGGAACAAGGUUAAUUUGGCCAACCAGUUUGAAAAUCAAAACUCAAUUCAAAUGAAUUCAAAUUUUUUCAAUUGGGGCAAAUCAGAAUUUCCAAAAUUACUUUUGUUUUUCCUAAACAACUUGAAAAACUCCCAACAUGAAAGUUGUCCAACUUUUUGUGCUCCACAACUUUCGUGUUGACCAAUUUUCAAAAUUCCAAAUGGAUUUUGAGGUGGAGGUUCAAAUUGGAAAAGGGGACAUUUUCUGGAAAUCUGUAUUUUCAAAAUUACUUUGAAUUUUGUAUUGAAACUUCAAAAACUCAAAACACCAAAGUUGUACAUCUUGACAAGAUCUACAUCUUUGCCUUUGAACUCAACCUCAAAUUUUGCUUAGUUUUCAAGUUGUGCAAAAGUGGGCAAAUCUAGGGUUCCAAAAAUCAGGGUUCCCCCCCUUAGCUUUUCGGAAAACUUCCACCCUAGGGUUUUAGCAACCACACAAGCAUCAACACACAACAUAAGCACAUUCUACUUCCCUAAGCACAAGCAAUCAAAAUAAACUUGUUUUAAGUUGAUGCAUAAUAAUGUGCUUAACAAACAUGCUUUGUAAUGCAUGUGAUGACAUGAUCCGUUUUUAGUAACCGUAACAUCGGGGAUGUUACACUUGGUGAUCGUGUUGGGUAUUUUCCCAGAAGUCAAGAGGAGCUUGAAGAGAUGGCGGAUGCGCGAGUUCCCAAUGAGUUCAUAUUUUGCAGGGAUGCUAAUACUUAUUGAGUGGAAUCAAGGGAAAAUCGUCGCCAAUCGGUAAGGCAGCCGCAACUUCCUCCAUGGUGUCCAAAGAGGCUGACUAGGACACAGAAAAGAAGACUGCAGCGUGAAAGACGAGAAGAGUUGAGAAAAGGAGAGAAUUCUGCUAGGUCCGAAGGUCAGCAGCAGCCAGAUCCUAAAGGAAAAGGGCCAUCGGCAGAUGUUAAUAUGGUAUUUAUGUUGCCGAUGGAGUUCCUUGCGCCGUCCAGUGAUGACGAGGAGGUGGAUUUUUAUGACCAAAUAGCUCAGUUGGCUCUGGAUCCAAUGACGGCUAUCUUUGAAAAGCCUGCCGACAAUGAAAGGCAGCAUCUUAAAGCUCUAUUUAUCAAAGGAAGGGUUGAUGGGCAGCCAAUGACCAAGAUAUUAGUCGAUGGUGGGGCUGCUAUCAAUAUUAUGCCAUAUGCAGUGCAUCGAAAGCUUGGGAAAGGAGAUCAAGACUUGUCCAAGACCGACAUGAUGUUGAAGGACUUUGAGGGGAAUGUGUCUCCAGUCAAGUGAGCUAUAUGUGUCGAGUUGACCAUCGGCAGCAAAACCUUGCUGACUGUUGACGGUCCUUAAGUACCAAAUAUAAUCAUCAAAUAAAUAAAGAAAAGGAUCCAAAUGCAACCAACAUCUAGACUUAGGGUUUUAUCUGACAGAAUUCCACGAGUUUUGGUGUUUGUCUAUUUCUGCAGGGGGUUCUCAGGAAAUACGGAAGAAAGGCCCACAUCUCGGGAUUACAUAGAGAUAUCAACGCACCGCGCAAUUUUCUACCAUCUAGAAGACUCCAUAAGCCACGGGAAGAAAGCAGAGGCCGAAAGGGGCCAGGCCCAGGGCGCCCGCCCUCCUUCCCUAGGCGCCCACCCUGACCUGGACUCCAUUCGGGACUCUCUUCGCACACGAUGUUCCACCGACCUAAAGGAUCAAGGAUAACGUAGUACCACAUCGCCUACCGACCCAAAAACACAUAGAGGAGGAGGACUAUAUAAGGAGACCCCCUGGCCCCUGGAGAAGACAAGAAGUUAUCAUAGAGUUGAGGGGUGCCCUCGAAGGAAAACCUCUUCUCUAAAUAGAAUUUCUUUUUAGGCUUAGCAACCAAUGUGAGUAGAAAUAGAUCUUCUAGUUUCUACUAGAUUGAGAGAGAUAGAGUGGAGGUGAAGAUCGGAGGAAGGCCGGCCUGUCGGUGUCUACUCCGAGGUUGUACCUGCGGGAUCAACUCUUCUAACCCGAGGCUUGCUUCUAAGAUUCUUCAGUAAUUCGACUUCUAAUUCUAGUAAGUUCUUGUUUUAUUGUUCUUUGGUUUAUGAGUUUACUUUAAUCCUCUUCUAGUUGAGCAUUAGAGUAAUCAUUGCUAGCAUAAACGUGGUGUUUAGGCUAGGGUACUCAUAGAUAUCCCCUGACUAGCUGGACUGUGGUAGUAGCUAGGAACGUGACAUUUCCGAGUUACCUUUGUAUCCCACAUCUCGUUAGCAGGAAGGGUAGGGUUUAUAGGUGCGGGUUGAACAUCCUUUGUGGUGUCUAGAUUCUGUAAGCUUCCCCAAUAGAACAGUAGAUCAUCCUUACCAAGGUUAGAACGAGACUACGGUUGUAGUCUUCUCUAUACAUCACUCACAUCGAGAAACAUUCUUUGUAGCCUAAAGGGAUAGUAGCAAUAGAUUUGGUUAGUCAGAUUCACCCUUUCUCCCAGUGGUAAAAAUAUAAAUACGAUACUCUGGAAAACCUCCCGGGUGAAAUGCUCACCGAUAUCCGUGCGCUUGCGGAUCAUUUCCUGAUUGCGUUACCAAAUAUCAACAAGCAUUUCUGGCGCUGUUGCCGGGGAGAAAGAUGGUUUGCUGAGAUAACUUUAAGUCUUGCUAUUAUCUUGUAUUAUACUUUUAUACUUUUAUUCUUUUAUCUUUUUAUUUUUAUCUCUAUGGAUAACUUAAAUUCCAUACCUAUAAUUGAAUUAUUUGCACCUUCGGAGACCAGCCAUAGACCAUGGGAGUCAACAAGUCCUGCCCCUAAUUAUGAUCUGUGUCCGGAGUUGAUUGCAAUAGGUCAAAACCAACCCUUUUCUAUAGCUGAGGUCCUAUCUUUUAAUCGAGAAGAUAAUGCACUUUUAGCUACAUCUAGGGAAUCUGUUAAUCUUUCUAUAAAUUCUGGUUCAGACCUAGCCCUACAAGACCAUGUUUUUCUCGAUAUUUUCACAUUGGUCUUAAUCAUAUAACCUUUGGUAGAGUCUUUCUUUCUUUAUCUAUUAGUAAAGGAAGGUAUGUCUUCAUUUGUGGACAUCCUUCUUGCACUAGUCUUCACAAAAAUAUCCUAGAGAUAGAGAAGGAAUCAUCUCCCAGAAGAUGAAAGGAAGUUUCAAUAACCGAUUUCCAAACAUUUCAAUCCCAUAAUUCAGCUAUCCAACCCAUCCUUGAGCUUAAUAAUUUCUAUGCUCUUUCUUUUGAACCUCCCGAUAAUCCUAUGAAUCUCUCUAGAAAUGCCAUGCAUAAGAAGGAGGAUCUAGAAGAGCAACAUCAAUGGCUAGAGGACAUUAAAAAUCCAUGUGCUAUCACCAUUGAAUGGAUGGAUAAAACAAACUUGAGAGACAAUUCUAGAGGAAUUUUAAGCAUUCAUGAAAAAUCAUCCUUGGAGAUUGGAGAGAAAGAUAACAUUAAUGAGCAUGGAACUUAUUUCAUAGCCACUUCGUUUACUCCAUGCUCAUAUGCAACAUCUUCCCAAUCUUUUGGUCUCUCCAACAUCACCACAUUUGAGAUCUCCAACCACCUCUUCCUUUCUAUUUAUAAAAACUUAAAAAAGGUGGUUGUCGAUGCAUAUGUCUAUAAUAAAUAUUGCAGAUCUUGUUGAGUUGAUCUUGAUAUAGGUAGGUGUUGGAGGGGAAACCACUUCACCAACAUAACUUGAUGGUUUCCCAAAGAUAAGCUUAGCGUCCUUAAACAAGCACUUAUCAGAUCGUUGUUGAUAUUUGGUAACGCAAUAAGGAAACAAUCCGCAAGCGCACGGAUAUCGGUGAGCAUUUCACCCGGGAGGUUAUCCAGAGUUAUCGUAUUUAUAUUUUUACCACUAGGAGAAAGGGUGCAUCUGACUAACCAAAUCUAUUGCUACUAUCCCUUUAGGCACAAAGAACGUCUUUCGAUGUGAGUGAUAAAUAGAGAAGACUGCAACCGUAGUCUCCUUCUAACCUUGGUAAGGAUGAUCUACUGUUCUAAUGGGGAGGCUAACGGAAUCUAGACACCACAAAGGAUGUUCAACCCGCACCUAUAAACCCUAUCCUUCCUGCUAACGAGAUGUGAUCUACAAAGGUAACUCGGAAUUGUCACGUUCCUCACUACUACCACAGUCCAGCUAGUCAGGGAAUAUCUAUGAGUACCUCAGCCUAAACACCACGUUUACGCCAGCAAUGAUUACUCUAAACUCUACGUGAAGAGAUUAAAGUAAACUCAUAAACCAUAAGAACAAUAAAACAAGAACUUACUAGAAUUUAGAAGUCGAAAUACUGAAGAAUCCUAGAAGCAAGCUUCGGGUUAGGAGAACUUGAUCCUGCAGGUACAAGCUUGGAGUAGACACCGACAGACCGGGCUUCCUCCAAUCUACACCUCCACUCUAUCUCUCUCAAUCUAGUAGAAACUAGAAGAUCUAUUUCUGCUUUACAUUGGUUGCUAAGCCUAAAAAGAAAUAUUAAUUAGAGAAGAGGUUUUCCUUCGAGGGCACCCCUCAAUCUCUAUGAUAAUUUCUUGUCUUCUCCAGGGGCCAGGGGGGUCUCCUUAUAUAGUCCUCCUCCUCUAUGCGUUUUUGGGUCGGUAGGCGAGGUGGUACUAUGUUUUCCUUGAUCCAAUAGGUCGGUGGAGAUCUCCCGAGAGAAAGAGUCCUGAUUGGGCUCGGCAGGUGGGCGGGCGCCCAAGGAAACUGGGCGAGCGCCCAGGUCCUGACCCCAUUUCGCCUCCGCUUCCUUCCCGUGGCUUCUGGAGUCUUCUAGAUGGUAGAAAAUUGCGCGGUGCGUUGAUAUCUCUAUGUAUUCCCGACAUGUGGGCCUUUCUUCCGUAUUUCCUGAUAACCCCCUGCGGAAAUAGACAAACACCAAAACUCGUGGAAUUCUGUCAGAUAAAACCCUAAGUCUAGAUGUUGAUUUCAUUUGGAUCCUUUUCUUUGUUUAUUUGAUAAUUAAAUUUGAUACUUAAGGACCGUCAACAAACUCCCCCAAGCUUACCUCUUGCUCGUCCCUGAGCAAGGAUAGACUCGGCAAUGGAUUAGAAGUUGUUGCAAAUAUCUUUAAAAAUUGACGGUACACAUGCUUUUUAAAUAAGAUCUCAUCUCUGAGUUAGAGUAAACUGUCAAGACUUAAAACUCACUGACUUUACCUUCACCAUGGGACUUGUAACUGUCACUUCUGUCUUGAGAGGUUAAAAGAUAGACACAGUCUAGCCAAGUGCCAUGUCUCUUAUUCUUGAUCAGCUAUAGCUCUGGGUUUUUUUUUGCAUAUUUUCAAAUAAAACUCAGAGAUUUCUUGUAUGACUCUCUCAUAUCUCUCUUUUGUGGUAUUUCUGGAUCCUUACCAUGGCAUUGAUGGUAUAUGCCUUCUCUCAAGAUAUGUGGUAUUUAUGGUAUAAGGCAUAGUGAUAUUGCCUUCUCUCUCACCCUACUCUAAUAAGGCUUGAUAUCUGGAGCUCAUAGGUGGGAGACAGUUAAUACAUACUUACAAGACAUUUAUUGUAUAGUCAAACCAUGGAUCCAAAGAAACAAAUCAAUAAGCCAAAUCAAGAUGUGCAUGUGUGGCGAAUGAAUGGUGUAUGGUGAUGAUGGUGAUAACAAUGGUGAAAGUCUAAUUCUACUUUUGCUCUUUUGAGGGGAUACAUACCUUCCUUGCUUUUUGAAACUUUAUGAGAAGAAUGAGAUGCUCUUCUUUUUCUUUCCUCUCAGGUGGGUAUCUUGUAUCCCUAAUUCUACUGUCGGACACUUGUCCAUUUUUACCUCUCGUCUCACUUUUUCUUUCUUUCGAGGUUCCGGGCACUUGCCCCUUUUUAUUUCCUCGUUUAUUUUUUUUUCUUUUUUCUCUUUUUUUCAGAGCACUCAUCUCUUGAGAUAAUAUAGCAAGUGGUAGUAACCAAAAUAUUUGGAGCAUUUAUUUCACAGGGAAUAAGAGGGAUAUGAAAAUGUUUUUGACUAUUCUCUCCCGGAUUAGGAGUAGAAUAUUUUUGGGUGAUUCUGGAGAUGGAAAUGGAUGGAUAUAUGUGGAUGGUACUUCCGGAGUAGAAGUAGCAUAUAUGAGUGAACGUGCAAGUGAAUCUUGAUUUAACCACAUGACAAGCUCCUAAGGGUCUACACAGCUUGACCACACUCAAUGCUCAUAAACAGUAAAUAGUAAAUGUGUGGCUCAAAGUCUAGCAAGCAUGUAUAUAUGGCUGUGGUAGGAAUUUAAACUCUCAGGAACUCAUCAUGCAAUAUUUUAAAGAUUUUUCAAAGAUAAAAUUCUCCAGAAUUCUAGCAUCUCUAGGAACAGAUAAACAGCAGCCCAACCUCCCCAUAUCAUAUCCGUUAACAACUUAGAUUUCACAUCAAGUUUUCAUCCCACAAAUUUAGGUCUAGAGCAAGAUUUAAAUUAUAACAGUUAUGUCUAAACUUGAGAGAGAACUUAAAAUGUGCAAAUUAGGCAGAGCAACUAUUCAUCAUAUCCAUGCUAGAGUUUUAUUAUUAAGAUUCAGAUUAGCAUAGCCACUUUAUUUAUUUAUUAAACAUACUAAGCAAAAGAUAUAUAUAAGCACAAAAUCUUUAUUUGGUUUUUCAUAGUUUAUGUAUUUUAAUAUUCUAACAUAAUAUAAGUAUAAAGAUAGAUAGAAAUACUUAGCGAGAAUAAUGGGGGUGCUUUCCCCCAAGCUGAAUUUUGACGUAAUUUCUCUUGAUGUAGCUAGCAUGUGGCAGAGGUGUAUUUGAAAGUCAGCAGCAUUCUGACAGCGAUUAGAAUAUCCUCCGUCUGCUAGUCUUUUUGAUUCUUAAAUUCUGUGGAGCUCAAAUAGACAACAAAGCUUUGUGGAACUGGUUAUGUGUUAGCAUAAAUAUCUAGCCUUUAUCAUGUUGAGCUUUCUUAAUAAAUGUUAUUUAUUUAGCAGGAUCAUACACUUAUUAUUAUUAUUAUUAUUAUUAUUAUUUUAUGUAUAUAUAUUUUUUAUAUAUUUUUAUUGUAAGAUGAAAACUUAUUUAUUUUAUUUUUAUGCCACCACAGUGAAUGUUCUUAUGGGUUUUAUGCUAUGAGCAUACUCACAUGGGGCUUACUAUUUUUUUAAUAUUUUUAUUUUCUUUUCAAGAUAGCAUGAACCUGAUUAACUAAGCAAACUAUUGAAUAGAAAAGGAUAACUACCAAGUUUACCUCUUGGCAAGGCGUUCGGUAUUUUUAUGUCCUCCGAACGGGACUCUCUGUUUUCUCAGUCGUCCUGGGAUUCGCUAGGUGGCGUAGUCGGUGAUUCCGGCGGCGCCUAUCUUCGUGUAUAACUAUCUUCUCCCUCCACACCUGACUCGGUGCUAUGGUCUCCUCAGGACAGUUCUGUUCAAGCUGUAUGUCUUCAGUCCUUAUCACUUCUCCUUCGUAGUCUACCCAUCCGUUCUUGAUGAUUUGCCUCCUCUUGGUUGCGGUUGCGUCGUCUUCUUGUCCUGACCUGCAUAGAUUCUUCAACUAUAUAGUUAUGGUCAGUAAAAUAGUUGCGUACCUUCUCAGAGGGGAAGUACAUGUGGACAUCUCCGGUUUCAAUGUAGAUGAUUGCUUUGAUAGUGUUGAGGAACGGUCUUCCAAGGAUGGUGGGUGGAUCAUAUUCGUCUUCUCCCAUGUCAAUGACCUGAAAAUCAUCUGGAGCUGAAUAUAUUGGUUGUAGGGGCAUGGUUCCAUGCAGGAGCUGAUAAGUUACUGCGGCCAUUAUGUUGUCGUCAGAUCCGGUGUCGUAGAGUGUCUUCUGAAAAGAGUAUCCAUUGAUUGUGCACUCGAUGCUUGGAACACCAGGGUCGUCCUUCUUGAUCGACAAAGGUGACUUGAGUCGACGAUGUUGACCUCUUUCGACAAGGAUCCAAUAUUUUAAGUCUUCUGGACAAGACUUUCCACCAUCUUCAUCCUUUAGGUGCAUCAUUUGAUUAGGUGUGGACCCUGAUGUCUGCACCUCUUGAUACGGUGUCACCCAUGUUCUUCUUUGCCCAGCAGUUCGAAGUAUGGUGUUGGCAAUAUCCUGCUCAGUGUGUUUGUGCUCAUAGAUCCAGGUCCUUCACUUGGUGGAGUCUGGGAGUUGUAAAACUCCUCCAUGUUUUGCUUGAAGUGUACCUGUUCAUAGAGACAAGGCAGAGAUCAAGUGCAUGGGCUCUGUUGGUGGAAAACACCAACAGAACCAUAAGUGAAUUUGUUCUUCUCUAACCUUAAGCAUAGUGAGCAAGACAAAGUUGAUGGAUAAUAAGAUGAUGAGUAGUAUUUGAAACAUUUGUCAGAUCAGAUGGCUCAACCUAAUGGAAAGAUAAUCUAUCUAUAUUUAUGUUUUGUUUAUAUCUUCCAAAUAUUGAAUGUGCAACAUAUUAGCUUAUAUGUUUAGGAGCGUGGGAUCACGAGGGUAGUACUAAGGACAAAGAUUAAAGGACUAAACAUGUUGAAUUAAUUGAGUUGGU